GAUGGGGCGAAUUCUGGCGUGCGGGCUGGUCCUGCGCGUUAUCAUUGUUGUCGCGUACUGGUGUUGGUCUUGGCUUGUGCCUAUUUGCCUUUGCUUGUUUUGGCCGCCUAGGGCUUGGUUAGCCUCUAGGCUUAUCAGUUGCCUGAUCUGGUCCUCGAGUGUUGCUUGGAUCUCGCCUGGCUGAGUGCCAUGGCUGUGUAGUUUUGGGGAGUUUCCAUCAAAGUCAUGAUGACUAUGAGUUGGUCAGAUGUUUGUCACGACCCAAACCCAGAUUCGUGACACGACUGUGCUAUUGCCGACUACUGCCCACAAUAGCACGAAGCCUCAUACAUGGGUAACAGGAUAGUCAGACUAGUCAAACUGUCAUAUAUUUAAAAUUUUCAGUGUAACUUACUGAAAGGUACAAAAUAUAGAGCUUCUAAAGAGUUUAUGUACACAAGUAUAAUUACCCCCAAAAGAUAGAAAUCCUGAUACAAAAAGAGUAUCUCUCGCCGCUAUCACUGGCGGUAAUCUGGAAGAAAAAUAUAAAUAAAAUGGUAUGAGCUACACGGCUCAGUAAGUAAUCCUGCAUAAUCUUAUCGGAUCAACUACAAUAUUAAGCAUUUUUAAGCAGGGUUUGGGAAGCUAACAUGAUCAUUACUUAACAAUUCUUCAUGAUAAAAUAUUCGUACUGAGUUGGUAAAUUGAUAUUUUAUAUCAACCAGUAUUUUCAUCAAAAUAUAACUUUAAACAGUACAUCGGCAUGCCGUGAUUUACUCUCUUUGAUGCUACUGCUCAGUCAUUAUCGGCCACUGGUCGGGCCAGCUCAGUCAUUCUCGGCCACUAGUGAGGCUAGCUUAGUUGCUUUCGGUCAGUAGCAUCUAAGAGCCCAUAAGUAGUACCUCUCGGAUGCUACGGCUCAGUCAUUCUCUGCCAGUGGCGGGGCCAGCUCAGUCAUUAUUGGCCACUGGCGGGGCCAGCUCAGUCAUUCUCGGCCACUGGCGAGGCCAGCUUAGUUGCAUUCAACCCGUAGCAUCUAAGAGCCUAUAUGUAGUACCUCUUGCAAGUAUUACACAUAGCUAAAUGCAAUUCAUUAUCAUAUCUUAUACUUAUACCUCAAUUACUAUAUUAAGUGCAAUUAUAGUAUCAAAAUCCAUCUCACACACAAAUCAACUUGCAUGCAUAAUCCUUUAAAAUCUUGACAAACGUUAUACACACAUGAUCCAUAAAGUAAUAAGAUUAAAGACAGACUACUUACGUAUAUGAUCCAUAAAUGUAAUAAGAUUAGGACAUGUUACUUACAUACAUGAUCCAUAACAAGAUUAAGACAAGUUACUUACACUUUAUAAUUUAUGUAAGAAAGCGUAUACAUGAUCCAUAAUGAGAUUAAGGCAAGUUACUUAAACUUUAUAAUUUAUGUAAGAAAGUGUAUACAUGAUCCAUAAUAAGAUUAAGGCAAGUUACUUACACUUUAUAAUUUAUGUAAGAAAGUGUAUACAUGAUCCAUAAUAAGAUUAAGGCAAGUUACUUACAGAAAUUCGCUUUCCAAUUUCUUACGUCUAGGUGACAAAUCCUUGAUCACCUAAAUUAAUAACAUAGGGACCACAUUAUUCCCUAUUUAUUCAUAAUUUCUUAACUUAUCAUAAUAUGAAUUUACUUGCUUGGAUCUCAAGUCCAAUUUACCCAAUUUGAAGCCUUUGUUCUCGAUUUAGAACCAAAUUGGGUUCACACAAGUCAAUUGGGCUUUUAAUUAAAGGAUUGGGCUUUGAGUCAGGGUCAGCCUGAGGCUAAUUUGCCCUUCAAUCGGUUGAAUUGGGCUUGAAUUGGGCCUUAUUUGAAAUCAAUUAGGUCUGCUGUGGCCAAUUUAGCUUAAGUGGGUUCGUACCCAGCUCAAUUGGGCUCGGGUUUAGCCCAAUUCAUUCAAUUGGGUCCGCUCAAACUUAGCUCAGCUCAAUUAGGCUUUGACCCGACUAAAUUGGGUUCGGAUUUAAUCCAAUUUACUCCAUUGGUCCAUCUGGACUCAGCUCAGUUUAAUAGAUUUGGACCCGACGUCAUUUGGGCUUGGAUUUAGCCCGAUCUAUUCAAUUGGGUUCGGAUUUAGGUCUAAUUGGGUUCGCCAAACCAUUUUCUUUUUAUUUGGGCCUAACGGGUUCUGGAUCCGAACCCGAAUCCGACCCGUUAGGCCGAACCCGUUUAAGGGUCCCAUUUUCCGAAGGCUUCUUGCCUCUUCGUCUCCCGCCCCCCUCUCUCUCUCUCUCUCCUUCGUCUCCACUGGAACCCUAGCCGCUCCGGCCGAGCCUUCGGCCUUCUCCUUCUCCGACCUUGUUCUUUUCUUCCUCCCUUGCAGCCCUUCAUCUCCUCCCCUUCCUCUUGCUAGCAACCGGGGGGUAAGACUCCCUCGACCCACUGGCCGAGGCGGUGCUCCCACCUCGGAGCAGCAAAGGAUGGGAGGCCGACCCCUCCUCUUCUUCGAAGUGAUGCCGGAGAAGGAAAGGAGGGCCUGGAGAUGGGGCCGAGACUCAGUUUCCUCCGGAAAGCCCUCAUCUAUUUCGACCACGGCGAAGAACCGCCAUUCGAGGAUGAAGCUUCAAGGUCUUGGUAAGUAUUUUAUUUUUGUUCAUUUAUUUUCUUUCCUCCCUUUCUCCUUUUCUUUUCUUUCAUGGUGGCGCCACCACCUCUUCACCGAAGAAGGGGUGGGGGCUUGGCUAGUCUGGCGGCCCUGUGGCCCCAUAUGGUGCCGGCUCGGCGGCCUCGUGGUCGCAUCCGGUGCCCCGGGCACCCGCAGCGGAGGCUGCGGAGCCCUAGGCACCCGCAGGCCGAGUUCGGUUGGGCUCGGCCUGGAUGAGCACUGGGCCUGGGCCUAGCUUAGUUGCUGGGCCUGGGUCGGACCUAGGUCAUACUCAGGCCGGCCCGUGGCCUGCCCUUGUGCGUGGGUCUGGCCCGGGUGGAACCCGUCGGCCAUUUACUCUUCUUCCAUCUUCUCAGUGCUAGAGUCUUCUUUCCUCUAUUUCAAAGUUGAAACAGAAGGGAGUAACAUUCCACAGAAGAACUUCCUCCUUUUUUAUUUUGUUUAAACCUAUUUACUUAAGUAAAUCAGGUCAUACCUUGCUUCGGGUUGGCUGCAGCCGAGCAGUACACCCUUCAAGAAAUUCCUCCUUCCUCUCCUAGGGCUUCAGAGGUUCAGCUCCUUCAACCUCCAGCUCCAGGGUUCGGCUUCUCUGGUACAAUACUCCAGAGGGCUAAGGAAUAAUAGCGUAUUGUAAAUUCUAAGUUAAGAAACUGAGAGUUUAAAUAAACUCUGCUUAGAAUGUGACCCUUGGAGAGGUGGCACCCUCUUCUUCCUCCUUGCUCCGGAAGCCUACAGUUGCCCUUUCCCUCAUGCCAGCUGGGCUUGUCCUUUCAACUUGGGUGAGAGGUGACGGACUCCCAUUUUGCAUGAAUGAGGGCCCAAAAGCUGGCCUCCCUCCUACUGGCCAACUGGGGCCCCGUCACAUCAGCCUUCAGGCGUGAGGUGGCAACCCUCCAUGGGCGGCCAUCCAUGGGCCCAAUACGGCCCAUUAAUGACUGGUCCAAAUACCCUUAAAUUGGGCCUCAAAAGUAUUGGGCCCGGUUAGUCUCGGGCUCGGACAGUACAAUGUGGGUCUAUGAUAACGUAACGUGCUUUGAUGGUAGGAUUGGCUUGAGACAUGCGACAAUAGUCUAGGGGAGAUAAGAGGUCUUGAUGGUUGUUUUCAAGUACCUUGUACAUUGUCUAAAAAUAGUUUUGCUUUUGUGGCCGCUUAUUUAUGAUGUCUAGAAUAUAGGGACUAGCUACAUUUUUUCCUUUAUGUUUUAGAGAUUAUACACUUGUCCCUUCUAACAAUUAUCCUAUUUGUUUUCCAAUAAUAUAGGAAUUGGUAGAUCCUAAUUCUAGUUAACUCUCCCUUCUACUUCAAGGCCCUAGCUUUUGUGGGAUGAGUUUCCAAAACUCAAAUUUUCUUUUGGAUUAUAUUUUAUAGUCCCACUCAAGGUACGCGGUACCGACUGUACCGACGUACCGGUGGGCAUCGAUACCGGUACGGUACCGAACCAAACCGAGCCGAACCGGUACUGUACCGAUGGGGCUAAAAGCCAAAAAAAAUUUGGAGCCGGUACGGACUGGUCGGUUUGGGUCGGUACUGGAUCGGUCGGUACGGUUCGGUACCGAAAUAUGUAGCUGUAUCGUACCGAUAGGGUCCGGUACCGGUAUGUACCGGCCGGUACCGACCAUACCGACUGGUACGGCAGACCAUGGUCCCACUCCUUAAGGUUUUGUUGAUCUUUAAGUUUUUGAAUUUAUCCCAAAAAACUUUAUAACCGGUGCAUAUGUAGAUCAAAUACCCUAGGUGUGGUAGGUAAGAGUAUGACCAUAAAGCCAUCACACUCUACAUUUAUACAUCUUUGUUAGUGUACAUUGAUGUAGUAAAUACACUGUAAUUUAUUCUCCUGUGUCGUGAUCAUGGUAUGCUGAACCGGCCCGUACUGGCUAUAGAAGGCCAAGCAUGGUGAGCUGAUUGAAGAAGCCAAACUAUCAUUGUAUACCAUGAUGGCGAAAAUUUAUCUAAUUUUAAAAAAAAGAUCAUCUCAAUAGUGUCCGGCAGUUUGGCUUGCAACUCGGCUUUUCGAUGUUGUCGAUCUUCUCCUGGGCAUUAUCCAGUUCUACUCGUAGUGGCUAAGGGAGUUCUCAUUGAGUCUGGUGAUCUUCCUAGUUAUUUAUAGUAGUCAAAGUGAUUUACAUCAAGUCUGGUGAUUCUCUUAGAUACUUGUAGUGGUCAAAAUAGUCCACAUUGAGUCCGGUGAUCCUUCUGGAUACGCGUAGUGGUAAAAAUAAUCUACAACGAGUCUGGUGAUUCACUUGAAUUCGGUGGUACGUUAGGGAACCCCAAGCCUAAGCUCAAAAUUAGGAUAGCUUUUAGAUUAUCCCACCAAAACAUUGAAAAGUGUAUGUAUUACCCAUUAGGGGUGGCUACAUAGCCCCUAGACUCAAAAAAAAAAAAUGAAUAGAUGUCCAUAAUAUCAAUAUAUUAGAAUUAGUUGUCAUGUAUUUCAUUAAUUAACAGAUUUUUUGUGAUUUUAUACUAUUUUUAGUGGAAAAUUUUAUUUAAAAUAGAAAAAUGUUUAAAUGCGAAAAAUAUUUAAUAUGAUAAGUUUUAAAAUAGCUACUUAUAGUUUGUUGAUUAACAUAGUUUAUGUUGUCUUUAAAGGUGAAUUACUCAAAAUAGUUGAUAGUUUGAUUAAACAUUGAAAACAUGGAGCAUGCAUCAAGAACCAAUGAGAUAAAUUUUAAACUAGUUUCCUUGCAUUUUGUAUGUUAACAAGAUUUAUAUGACUCCAAAUUAAUUUAAAAAAAGAAAACUAAUUAAAAAUCAUAAAAAAUGUAAUUAAAUACAGAAAAUAUCCAACAUGCAUCUUUUAAUCAAUGUUGAAAGGUAAAAAGAUAAAAGUGAAACAUGUUAGAAUUUAGAAGAAUUAAAAUUUUCAAAAUAAAAAAAGAGCCCAAAUUUUAAGUGAACCUGGCAAAUUCUUUGCUGACUUCACUUAAAAUUUUUAAAAUAAAUUAAACAAGUGUUUGGAGGGCGAAGCCCUUGCUCCGGCCCGCUGGCUCCCUUCGGUGCCCCUCCAACGCUGUCCAGAGGCCCUCCCUCUCCCCCCUCUCUUUGUUCCUCUCUUUUGUUCUCCCUCUCUCACCCUCUUUGCUGUGUCGGUACGGCUCGGCAUAGAAUGGCAUGGAGGCGUAUAGAACCGUGCUCUAAUACUGGCAUGACGAACCUUUGUAUAAAUUAUUACAUGAUUAUAUUAUUGUUAUAUAUAUUUAAUAUGUGCGGUGAGUGUAUGCUUUCAUGCUAUUUUCUAGUUGCAAGGAUUUUUGUAGUUGAAACUAUUACCAAAUUUUGCUGCAGUUCAAAUAGAAGUUUUGGGCCUCCUUUUGCAGUUGAACUGUAGCCUACAGGCAUCGAACACUUGUUUUGUGUGCUUGCAAUUCAAUUACGCCAAACUAAAAUUGUAGCAUAACAAUUGUCGGCAAUCAAACAGCUGGAUAGGAGAAUGCUACUUGGCCGGCACUAGCACCCCCCUUUUUAGAUGGGGAUACUCCUAGACUUUUUAUGUUCUUUUGGAAUUUUGAAAGUGAGUCAUUGUUGAUUAUUUUAUUACAAUAUUAUGAAUUAUUUCCCUAGUUUCAUUUAUAGUUGGUUCUUAAACCUUAUUGGGACCACAAGUACUGUUAAAAUAUCGAUUUUCCUGCAUAACACACCCCAUUGAAAAUCACUAGAACAUGGAAAAAGUUCAGUUCAUAUUCGGAUUACACAUCAAAAAAAAAACAACAAAAGUUGGGAAAACAAAACAAAACAAUCAAAUUUGCAUCCUGGUACUGUACCGAUACACAACCUUAUUCCCUGAGUUGGUAACAUAUGGGUUGGUACCAUACCGGUUUGGCAGAAACUGGUACCAUCUUCGGUGCCAUUAUCCAAACUCUCUUUUGGAAGCAUCAAAUCUACCAUUAUCCAAACUCCCUUUUGGAAGCAUCAAAUCUUAAUACGUAAUGGACUGCUCCAUGUCAAGGCCUAAUCCAUUUCUAUUUCUAUAACUAGGAAUCCUAUUUAACUACUAGGAGUGACAAAUUCUGGUUUUAGUUUUUUCCUACUGGUUAAGCAUUAGUCUCCUGUAGGGGGAGGCUGAACCUUUUAUGUACAACCUGAUUUACCAUACCUUUUGGACAACAGAUAGUUCUACUAAUUGCAUGUUGAAGUCUCUCGUGGUAUGAGUCCGGGCCAAAAAGAUUUCAUCCCCAAAAUACAAGAUCAGAGUUUCGGGGUGUCUGUCAAAGUAUUAUCUAUAUUUAUGGGUUGGAAGUUUCUUGGUUUCACACAAGCAACAAAAUAUGUCGUAGAUAAUUUGUCUAAUCUGUAACUACCAUUGCUACUGGUGACACUCAUGACGGAGAAAACAUGCCUCAUAAAGGUAAUGCUUGCUGAUUUGCUGAAAAGUGAAUGGUUAAAUUCAAAUUAUGAUAAAUUAGUAACGUAAACCAAUUAUAAUAAAGUUUCCUCUCCUUGGACUGAGGCUCGUUGUUAUUGUCCUAAAAACCAUAUUGCCUUCUUGUGAAGGGGCCUUGUUCAAUGGUGAAGUACCCCUGAUGCAUUCCAAGAAAUCCCUUACAUGCAUGGUCUUGGUGGAGUAUGAAAAUGAUCAAAAUACUCCUUUUGCCUAGUAAAAGGAACAAUUGCUCUUGAACUUAGAAUUAGGCCAAUUUUCUAUUCGGGAAAGCAGACUCAUUCGUUGUCUUAACACGGUUUAGGCCAGUUAUCUGAAGCCAAGUUUUGGAGUAUGAAACUGUGACCCGUCUUUGAUUGAAAGCCUGGCUCCUUCACAGUCCGCAGCAGAUAGAAGAAGGGCAGGUCAUAGAUUCAUACCAUAUGGCUUACAUACAUAUGUACAAACAUUUCUAUGGACUUAAGCUGGCCAAGCCUUAUUUAACUUCUUGACUUUCGGGGCUCUUUAAGCUAGGGACAUGGCAUAAUACUAGUCAGAUCAAUAGGUAGAAUCAACCAAUGACCAAAAUAUGACUUAUCAUGUCUGUGCCAGUCACUGAUUUGAACGAGACAUAUUGCAUAGUGCUAACACAUGGCAUGCAAUUGGCAUGAAAGGUAAACAACUCUUUUUAACCCCAGUGGUUUGGGUGCGGGUGUUUGGAUUCAGGAGUUCCUAGAAAUAUGAACAGGGAUGAUAAGGGAUUCUGCUUCAGUCAAUUACUUUUAAAGACUUUAAACUUGUAAUUAUAUAUUCACAAUCAAUGAAGUUUAAGAGUCAAAAUUUUGUCUAGAUGUUUGUGGUAAUAGCUAUUUAGUAUGUGCAUUACGUCGUUUCAUGUGCACUAGAAUGUAAACUAACACCAUAUAACUAUUCUACACAUACGCAACUGAAGUAAGUGGGCAUUCACAUUAGACGAAUACAAGGGAACAAGUAACUAGUUUAUACUAACGAUAUAUUUUUAAGUAUUGACACAUGCUUUUAGUCUUAUAGAGUUCUAAUACUAUGGAUUGCUUAUGAUAUUUCUUUGAAAUGCAUAUAAAUCAUAGGUGACCCUGAUGUUAAAUUUAAGUUUGUAGUAUGAUGAACUUUUAUUUAUGUCUCUUGGGAUUUCAUUUCUUCAUACAAAAUAAAUGGGGUUAAUAUGGAAGAGUUCAUUGGCACGUAGAAUAGAAAGUUAACGUAACAUGUUCAGAUGGUUAGGAGAUGGCAACAUCUUUAGCCUUUUGGUCUUUGUCAGCUAGUGGAGUUCGUUGCAUUUGCCAUUGCUAUUUGCAAACUGCAGCCUCGUGUCUGUACUUGUAGGCAAAGUUUGCAUGAAGUACAAUUAGUUCUAUAAGGUGAGUUUUGUGAUGGUAAGGUUAUUUUGUGCUGUUGACUUUGUUUCUCAAGAUUCUGUCAGGAAAGAUGUGCUGGACCCUUGGCACAUUAGAUACUCUCGUUCGUUAAACAGAUGAUGUCUGAGGCCACUCAUGGCUGCACAAAAACAGAAAGGCUUUUUCCUUAUAACAUUAGAGUUAGAGACCUGUAUAUAUUUGUUUCCUAGCCCCUUAAAUUAUUUUUAUCCUAAUUCAAGGAAUAUUGGAAAACUAGUACAAUUAUAUAGAACCAUAAAAUAGAUGGUUAAGAUCAUUCUAAGAUCAUUCUUUGAUGACAUGUACUGUAAUUUCAUCAAGUGUGUUCUUACGGUGACCUUUUAAUGUGGGUAUAUUUAUACAAGCUGACUUCUAUUCAUUGUUAUGGUGGUAAACACAUGCAUACAAUUUUGUCCUGCGAGAAGUUCCAGUGGAAUAUCUAUUGAUAGAUCUAAUAGUUGAGGAGUUUUUAUCAGUUCUUUUGAGUCUUUUUUUCAAAUUAUUCUAGUCUGUAAGUUUAAAAUUUUCAGUUCUGCUGGUAUGUUAUUUUACCGUACCAUUCUAAUUUCAUGGGUCAAGUGUACAUUUUGCACUAGGAUAUUGUCAUUCUGAUUCUUAUUUUUUUAAAAUUACUUUGGUCCUAGGUAUGCUGCUGGUGAGGAAGCUACUAAAAGGUUGAAGUUCAUUGAAGCACAUGGGGUCAGUGAAAACUUAAGUAGGUUUUCAGAAAUUCCUAAUAGCUUCAUGGAGAUCUCAGAGAGCCAUUUUCCUCUUGUCAUUUCACUUCACAAUUUUUUGAUCAUUCUUGAUGGAAGCAUGAAGAACUCAUUCUUUGAUAAAUUUUCUGAUGUAAAGGCGAUUACUGGUGGGAAAAGAACUGUGAUGUCUCACGUCCUGUGUCAACUUAUCACGGUUAAAGAAAUUGACUAUGAUCAUUUUGUUUCUUCUUAUUGGCCUCGUUUUGACAAAAAUCUUACCAGGAAAUUGGAACCAUCGUUGGUGUUCUCUGAGAUCAUCUACUGUAUAAAAGGAGGAAUGGGUACCGGAAGGACUUCAAUUUACAAAAACAUGGAUGAGGACGAGUAUACUGCGCUAUCUGAGAAUCGGCGCUCUUCAGUAAGCAAAGAUAAGAGAAAAAUGAUAUAUAAAAUAUUUAUGAGUUAUGAGAAGGAAAAAGAGAAAUGUGAGGAAUAUGACAUUUCUGAUUUAGUGAAUGAUCUUCAUUUUCGAUUAUUUGUUUAUAGAUAUGAGGGCCGCAAGAUGGAUUAUUUAUACGUAGAUGAAGUUCAAGAUUUUACAAUGAAGCAGAUUUGCUUGUUCAAACACCUUUGUGUGAAUUUCCAGAGUGGAUUUAUGCUUUCUGGAGACACUGCACAGGCUCUGGUUAAUGAUUUUAGAUUUGAAGAUAUUAAAUGCUUAUUCUAUAAAGAGUUUCUCCUUGGGUUGGGAUCUGUUCCUGAACUUUUUCUGUUGAGCACUAAUUUCCGGACCCAUGCCGGUAUUUUGAAAUUAGCAGAAAGCAUAUUAGAUCUGUUGCACCAUUUCUUUCCUUUAUUAGUUGAUCGUCUUGUUUCAGAAAAAAGUAUGACACACGGAGAGGCUCCUGUAUUACUAGAAUCUGAAAAUGAGACUGAUGUGCUAGAUACUAUCUUUGGCACUAAUGAAACAAUCGACCAUAUCCCAUUUCAAUUUGGAGCUGAACAAGUAAUUUUGGUACGUGAUAAACAUACUAAAGAGAAGCUUGUUUGUCGUAUCGGUAACAAAGCUCUGGUCUUGACCAUUAAGGACUGCAAAGGGCUGGAAUUUCAGGUAUAGUAUUAGAGACUGAGUUUUUAAAUUUUGCAUGUACUUCUGCUACUUAGCUUUUCUAGAACCUAGUUUCCCUAUUUUUUAUAUAAUUUUGUUUGCAGGAUGUUCUUCUAUUUAAUUUCUUUGAGGAGUCACCUUUGAAGUGCCAAUGGAGGGUAGUUUAUGAGUUCAUGGACGAUCAAAAAUUAGCAAACCCUUGCUUGCCCAAGUAUCCAUGUUUUGACCAAGAUAAACAUCAUAUUCUGUUCACGGAACUGAAACAGUUGUAUGUUGCUGUUACACGUACUAAAAGAAGAUUGUGGAUCUAUGAAAGUAGACAAGACUUUGGGGGGCCAAUUUUCAACUACUGGAAGAUGUUGGGUCUUGUGCAGGUGGAGAGAUUGGAUUCAUCAUUUGUCAGGAAAAUGGAAGUGUAUUGUAAAAUAGAAGAGUGGGAUGCCCGUGGCGAGAAGGUUUACACCUUACUUGUGUCAUUUGUAUUCAAUUUAAUUCAUCUUUACGCACCUGAACUCUGAGGUGCAAUUGUUGAAUAUUCUUUCUAUUAUGUUUUUUCAGUUCUUUAAUGAUGGCAAUUAUGAGAUGGCGAUACUGUGUUUCAAACGAUCUGGAGAUGUAUAUAUGGAGAACUGGUCAAAGGCAGCAUUACUUCAAGCUGAUGGUCGUUCUAAGCUUCAUGUGAAUUUCCAGCUGGCAUUAGAUUCACUAUCAAAGGCUGCUGACAUUUAUGAGAGCAUUGGAAAGAUGGAAUUAUCUGCAUCUUCCAUCAUGGAGUCACGCGAAUAUACAAAAGCAGGUUAGGUUUGGCUAUUGACUUUUUUUUUCUUUUUUUUUUUGGGGGGGGGGGUCUACAACUGCAACUGACUGAUUUUAUGUUAAGUCCUUCUAGUAUUCUUCUAAAAUUAGGUUGCAUAAUUUGUUCGUUAUCUUUCUUGUUUUUUUUUGCAAUUCUGUUCACAUGUUAAGUCUAUUGUACAUAUUUGCCAUUUUGUAUUGAGUAUAAUGAUGCUUUGCAGUUAUUUUUCACGCUAGUAUCCAGCAGAUGCAAUGCAUGUGCAGAGCAUUACAAGGACACAUGACAUACUUUACAAGUAUCGUGGCUAAGUUGUGUUUUCUUCUUUUUCUUCAUUUUUUUCUGUUUUGGAGCCUGCAAGGGCCUUAUCCCUCCCUAAAUUUGGAAAUACAACUAUAUGUUAGCUAUAUCCUAUUUUAGAAAAUAACAGUUCUUACUUAUUCAGGCCCCACAGUAUUUUGCUACUUGAAAAGACCAACUUCCUCCUUGUACCAUCCUUGAAAGGACGGGUUGUAUCUUUCGUGCGAAAGAUGGAUUCACCUUCCUUUGCAAGAAUCCACCAUUGGAUCAUGCAAUGGCUACUUUGAGAUCUGUGUACGUGGACGAAUGGAGUUCAUAGUGCUUUGAGAUGUGUGUGGGAUGCGAUCCAACAGCCAAUCAUUCUUUUGCGCGAAAGAUACAACCUGAACCCUUUUUGUAAUGCACACUCAGAAUAUUCUAUUCCAGAAGACUUGCCUUGCCAAUGUAAGAAACUGCCUAAGAGAAGGAAUUAUUAUUGAGAAGCGGAAAUAGCUACCAUUUUAUUAAAGUAUAAUUUACACAUGAUUUAUUAUUUGAUAGAUAGAUCUUACUAGGAGGCGAAUAGUCUAAAUGUGCUUUCAUUUUUUUACCAUGCUAACAUAGAUAAUUAGCACCUGGAAUCAUGAACAUCUUAUUUUUGUUUUUUUGAUGCAUGAUAGUUGAAGAGAAUUGGCAAGUCAUGCUUCAAGAAUUAUGAAUAUUAUUUUUGACCAUUACUAUAACUAAAAAAGUCAUCAAAAUAAUUCCUAUUAAACUUUAAAUUCUUAAUUGAUAUGAAUUUAUGCUUUUUUGAACUACGAUUAUCCAUCUCUCUCUGUAACCCUUCCAAAUGCUGAAUUCCACUUCACCAUGCACUCCUAGCCAGAAAAGUCGAGUAACUAAGGAAGAGCUCCAAAGUUUAAUCUUGCUGGAAAAGUUUUGUCCAUGUCACGGUCUGAAGUACCAUGUUAAGUGUCGUUAAUGUCUCCAUAUAGUACAUACCACAAUACAACCCCAUAUCUCCACAUGGUUUGUUUAAGGUUUGAAAAACUGUGGUAUGGUACUUUACAAUAAUGUUGUAAGUCCCGACGAGAUGGAGGGCGUCAUAGUCAUCCUGUCUCAUUUCUAUGAGAAAAUGGGACUGGGAUGGGGUUAGGACUCUGAAACUCAUUUAUGCGCGGAAAGAAGAGGACAAAAGGAAAGAAAGAAAUGAAGGAAAGAUGAAGAAAAGGAAAGGUGAAAGGAGAGAUAUUCAAGAGGAGAGAGAAAAGAAGGGAGAAGAAGAAGAAUGAAAGGAAGGAAGGAAGAAAAGAGAAAGAUGAAGGGAUAAGAAAAAGAAAGAAGAAGAAAAAGGAAAGAAAGGAUGGUAAGGAAAAAUGGAGGAAAGAAGAAAAAGAAAGAAAGAAGAAAAGAAAGAAAAAGAAAGGAAAGGAAAGAAAGGAAAGGAAAGAAAGGAAAGAAAAGAAAAAGGGAAGAGAGACGGAAAGUACCUACAAGACGCUCGACUGGGAUUGGUGUGGAGAUGAGGUAGGAUAGUGGAGCAUCCCAUUCCAUGGAGAAACUAGGAUAUCCCCAGAUUUAAAACCUUGCUAUACAAUAUAACCUUGAUUAGUUUCUUAUUUUUGUGAAUAUCGUAUUAUGGUAUGGUUGGUCUUUCAUGCCUUUUUCCAUAUAUAUCUAAAGUUAUCAAUUUGUUCACAGGAUGUCUUUUAUUGGUGUCAUUUGUAAAUGAUUAUGUACAUGAUAUUCAAUAUACUGGUUCAAGGAUUUGACUAGGUACCAGUCCAUACUGGCUAUACUAAAUUGUACCAUUAAGGGUCUUAGGGUUGGAUGUGCUAGGACAGUAUCGAUAGAUGGUGUUUCACCUCCAAGUUGUUUGUCCUAUGACAAAGGGCAUAUAUUGUUUUUGUAUGGUACCAUACCUUAACCAUAUCUGCCUUACAAGUAAGGUACUAAUAUGGAUAUUGAUUUCCAGUACAUAAACCUUGAAGUGGUUUGCCUGCAUAGUGCAUGUAAUUGAUCAGCAGAAAAUUAAAAAGGAAAACAAAAAUGUUUAUGGCUAGAUAUUGAAUUUCAAUCUUACCACCAUGUUUUCUUUUUUAAAUCUGCAUGUUUUUUCAAUGACAAGUGCUUCAAAAGGUGGACUUAUCAAUGAAAGGUGAUACUUUUAUUAAAUAAGUGUUUUAGAGUUGCUCUUGAGUGUACAAUUGGACAAACCUCCUAUUUCUACCUCGACCCGAGUUCACGAACCGGGGGUUGACAACUGCCGCGUACUCGUAGGGAACCCUCCCCACAAGCAUGCAGGGCAUCUCAAUAUGAUCUCAUAAAUAUGCAGCGGAACAAUUUAAAUAAUAAUGUGCAAACUUUAUUUCAAUAACUAGCUCAACAUUUAAAUGUCUCACAAUCAUAACAAUAUUCUAGGGUAGUACAUCAAUUUAAAUAGACUUUGUUCUAAGAUAAUCUGUGCUAAAGUUCUGCUAGUCACUCUCUCAUAUUGAAAACUUCGAUCAGACUAGUUCUCUGAAUCUGUGAAAAAAUAAGAAAUCGUAUAAUGAGCUAGACAGCUCAGUAAGCAAUGAUCACUUUAACUAAACAAAAUCAGGCAAUCAAAUAGAUUAUAAUUUGCAAAAAAUAAGCAUAUAUACAGUACUAAUAUACGAAUCAAAUCUUUCUAAAAGUAUUAAAUUUUGUUCAUAGAUUCAAAUUUUUUCAAAUAUUCAAUUUAUCUUAUCGAUCCUGAGCUAUGACCGCAUCAUCCUGUGGCAGGAUCAUAACACCGACUAUUUUUUUUGAAGUUAGCUGUGCAUUAUCUUGCAGCAAAGUCCUUUAGGACCGCUGGUCUGCUGACGAUAUGUCACUAAUCAUCUUGAACACAACCUUCAAAACAAUUCAUGUGCCAAUGUAUUAGCCUCUAUUGGCGGGAUCCUUAAUAUAAACAUGUCAAAAUUCAAAUAGUUUUAUGUUUCAUAUUUCAGUUCUAAAAUCAUGAGGUGUCAAAAUCAAUCAAUCAUAUCCAUAAUAAGAUCAUAUAUCGUCAUAAUAUUUCAUAAUAGUAUAUUACAUAAUCAUAUGCGAUCCAUCAAAUUCAUGCAUCAUGAAUAACACCACUUAGAGUCAUGAAUAUAACAAUUUAAUGAUUGCUAAUAGAUUUACAAAAAAAAUAAAACAAUACCAUGCGAAUGCAAGCUAACUAACAGAUCCAAUUAAUUCCAAAAAAUUUUCUCAAAUUUUGUUAUUUAAAAAUUAUAUUUUCAAUCAGAAGUUAUCAUGAUUAUUCCAAGAAUGGGACCUUAAUUCCAAUACCAUCACCGGAUUGACCAAUUGGGAGUGCCCGACAUCUCGGUCGGUCCGAUCAAAGUGAAAUUCAUCGAAUCAUGCUCGGACUAGGGCACAGAUGGUUCAACAAAGAUCAGGGCGAUCAAAUCUAUUAGUGUUUGGCAGAGGCCAGGGUGGGGGCUGAUAUGCUGUCCGACAAUCCUAGAUUAGGACUCUUCACCAUGGUCAAUUCAAAAUCACUAUGAAGAUUCUUCACUGGAUCCAACUAUUCUAGAGUAGAGAGAAAGUCUAGGUAGAGAAAAACAAGAGAGCAUGGGGAAGAGAGAAAAGAGAACUAUCUUCUCUCUCUCUAACCAAGGAGAGGAAGGAAGACGGUGGCUGCAGGUGGUGCCCGGGGUCAGGGACCCACGGUUGGCCAGCAAGCAGCCAGUGGCGACUAGCGGUCGACAGCACUAAAUCCACUCAAAAUAGGGGUUUCGACCCUCUUUAACCAUACAAAUCAAGCAUCCUAAUGGCCGGAGCUUCGGCCAUGGUCUCCUGCCACUGGGGGGGAUUGGAGGAAGACUUAGGAGGCAAGAAUCGAUGGUGGAACCAGCCGGAAUCAGAAGAAAAAAACUUGCUUUCUGAAAGCAAGAAAAACAUGGGCUUUGCCUCGUCUCGGCCAAAUUUCGGCGAUCAUCAGUCGGAAUCGGGCUUCCAAGGGUCACGGAGGAUGAAGAGAAGAGUUAUCCAAAGAUUUUUGGAUUAUUUCCUCGCUUCUUGGCGGCGAAUGGCAGCGGCGGCGGCNNNNNNNNNNNNNNNNNNNNNNNNNNNNNNNNNNNNNNNNNNNNNNNNNNNNNNNNNNNNNNNNNNNNNNNNNNNNNNNNNNNNNNNNNNNNNNNNNNNNNNNNNNNNNNNNNNNNNNNNNNNNNNNNNNNNNNNNNNNNNNNNNNNNNNNNNNNAAAUAAGAAAUUUGGAUGAAAAAAAUACGAAAGAGGUAAAGUAAAGAAAAAAUCUCGGAUUUAUUCAAUCAAUAGAGGUACAAUAAGCAAGAUUAACCCCUUGUUUGUUGGUGGAUUCCCGCAACAAACAAAACAAGAAAAAAAGUCAAUUAAGUAUGAAUACAGCAAGAAAAAGGCAAAUUGUGUGUAAAUUAUUACACAAAGAUAGAUACUAGUUACCCCCCCCCCUUUUUUUUUUUAUCAAUUUUUUGUUUUUUACUUUAAUUAACUCGAAUCGAAGUUCUUUCUUGAAAUAAUUCUGCCUUCCUUAAAAUAUCACAAACAGUUCCCGUAGGUUGAGCACCUUUUCAAGGAAAUAUAGAAUAAAAGGAACAUUUAAAUAAGUUUGAUUCUUUAUCGGAUCGUAAAAACCUACUUUUCUAAGAUCUCUUCCUUCUCCUCGGGAUCAAACAUCAAUUGCAACGAUUCGGUAGAUGGCUCAUUGGAAUCGGAUCAAAUUUUUUCAAAUAUUCAAUUUAUCUUAUCGAUCCUGAGCUAUGACCGCAUUAUCCUGUGGCAGGAUCAUAACACCGACUAUUUUUAUUGUAGUGAGUUGUGCAUUAUCUUGCAGCAAAGUCCUUUAGGACCGCUGGUCUGCUGACGGUAUGUCACUAAUCAUCUUGAACACAACCUUCAGAACAAUUCAUGCGCCAAUGUAUUAGCCUCUAUUGGCGGGAUCCUUAACAUAAACAUGUCAAAAUUCAAAUAGUUUUAUGUUUCAUAUUUCAGUUCUAAAAUCAUGAGGUGUCAAAAUCAAUCAAUCAUAUCCAUAAUAAGAUCAUAUAUCGUCAUAAUAUUUCAUAAUAGUAUAUUACAUAAUAAUAUGCGAUCCAUCAAAUUCGUGCAUCAUGAAUAACACCACUUAGAGUCAUGAAUAUAACAAUUUAAUGAUUGCUAAUAGAUUUACAAAAAAAAUAAAACAAUACCAUGCGAAUGCAAGCUAACAGAUCCAAUUAAUUCCAAAAAAUUUUCUCAAAUUUUGGUAUUUAAAAAUUAUAUUUUCAAUCAGAAGUUAUCAUGAUUAUUCCAAGAAUGGGACCUUAAUUCCAAUACCAUCACCGGAUUGACCAAUUGGGAGUGCCCGACAUCUCGGUCGGUCCGAUCAAAGUGAAAUUCAUCGAAUCAUGCUCGGACUAGGGCACAGAUGGUUCAACAAAGAUCAGGGCGAUCAAAUCUAUUAGUGUUUGGCAGAGGCCAGGGUGGGGGCUGAUAUGCUAUCCGACGAUCCUGGAUUAGGACUCUUCACCAGGGUCAAUUCAAAAUCACUAUGAAGAUUCUUCACUGGAUCCAACUAUUCUAGAGUAGAGAGAAAGUCUAGGUAGAGAAAAACAAGAGAGCAUGGGAAGAGAGAGAAGAGAACUAUCUUCUCUCUCUCUAACCAAGGAGAGGAAGGAAGAUGGUGGCUGCAGGUGGUGCCCGGGGUCAGGGACCCACGGUUGGCCAGCAAGCGGCCAGUGGCGACUGGCGGUCGACAGCACUAAAUCCACUCAAAAUAGGGGUUUCGACCCUCUUUAACCAUACAAAUCAAGCAUCCUAAUGGCCGGAGCUUCGGCCAUGGUCUCCUGCCACUGUGGGGGAUUGGAGGAAGACUUAGGAGGCAAGAAUUGAUGGUGGAACCAGCCGGAAUCAGAAGAAAAAAACUUGCUUUCCGAAAGCAAGAAAAACAUGGGCUUUGCCUCGUCUCGGCCAAAUUUCGGCGAUCAUCAGUCGGAAUCGGGCUUCCAAGGGUCACGGAGGAUGAAAAGAAGAGUUAUCCAAAGAUUUUUGGAUUAUUUCCUCGCUUCUUGGCGGCGAAUGGCAGCGGCGGCGGCACGAUGGCGAUCGGUGAUCGAGGGAAAAAAUCAAAGAAAUCUGGUGACUACUCUCUGAUUGGAGCUAGGGGAAAGCUUAUAUAGAGCGGAGACUAGGGUUUCCUAGUCUCCGGCAGAGUUCAAGGAGGAGGAGAACUCGUCCUCCUUCGUUGUGCUCAACUAGGGCUCUGCCCUAGUUCUGGUUCGGACGGGCCUUCGGUUUGCAUUCGGAUGCUGGGUCGGGCCAACAUGCCGACCUAAUGAGGCUGGGUCUCACAUUCGCCCCUCGUUUAAAAAUUUCAUCCUCGAAAUUUUCUUUUCUUGUGCUUUCAAAAUGUUAGAGAUACAUAAUUCUAAUCUCGUCCUUAAGUUUUCAAUAAUUCUACUUACCAAUACAAUUUCAUCAUUAGAUCUUAUCAGAAGAAUAAGGUUCAAUACCUCUAAACUUGAUUCUUUUUGUAGAUGAUGUAAAUCAAACUUCUCUCUUAUAAACGAAAAACGUCUUAAUUCUGAAUAAGAACAUCAUAUUUCUUUGUCAAAAUAUCAACUACUCUUGAUUAAUCGAUCUAUCUGAAUAUUAGAUCCUAAAAAACUCCUAGCCAACCCUAGAAGAAUAUUCAUCAAGGUCGAUAGAUAACCUCAAUUUCUUUCAAUCAAAUAGAGGGUUGAUAUUAAUUGGGGAAGUACAAUCUUCAGAUUUAGGAGGAAAGAUGUCUACACCAAAAUAUUCCAGAUCCAAGAUCAAAAAUCGAUGAUCCAUUAAUUCUAGUCUCAAGAUGCUAAGAAUAUUUUUAGCACGAUAUAAAAUUGGAGAACCUAAGAUAGUGCAGCGACUUCCAAAAAUCAGAAUAUUUUUCUUUCGUUUAUCAAGGAAAACUUACUACACAAGGAAACAGAUCAAGUGUUUUGUUAUUAAAACCUGCCGAAUCUAAGAGAGAAUAUCAUGGAAGUGUGUAAUGGAGUAGCGGGAAAGUAGUUGAAGAGAGAACAUCAUGGAAGUGGUUUAUGGCUGAAAACCUUAUACAUUUGCUAACUCUGCCCAUCAAUCAAAUGUCAGUAUGUGGAUAUAGUUCUUCUUGAGGGCAAUUUGAGAAUUAAAUUUUUAAUAUCAUUGUUAUCUGAAUGAUAAAAUCGAGAUUCUCCUACAUUUUAUUGAAGUGAAAUAUCUAAAUGAGUAAUGUCUAGUGGAUAGUAAUAGCCAAAGUUGGCUAAAUCAAAACUGUGACCCUACCAGUCAGUUUUCAUGUUGAUAUGGUAUGGUACCAUACAGUACCAGCACAUGGUACUUAUGCUAAUAUCAGUCAAGUGCCAGGUUCACCUAAUCUAGGAUUUUCCCCAUAGAUCUAGAGAGGGGGAGGAAGGGAGAAGCAUUCUAACUGUGGCUGUUGGAGGUAAUGGUGUUGGUUGAUGUGGUGGAUCCUGUGGCCAUCGAGGGUGUCAGAUUUGAGCAGAUUUGAGCCAUAGGAUGGUGUUGAGGGUCUAGGGGAAGAUCGUCAGCAAAGUGGGAGCCGAAGCCAGUGGAGUAGUGGAGGGCUUGGAGGUGAAUUGGCUGUUAGCGAGAUAUCUGGCAUGGCAGAAAGGGAGAAUGGGUCUAGGAUCAAACCAGUGGGGAUGGGACAAAGUCUUUUAAAAGCCGUGAUCAGUUUGACCCAGGUGAAUCAAGUCAGUAUCAUUCAAAACUGGAUGGAUCCAUGCAGUUUUGCUAGCUUCGGACUAGUUUUGAUAAGAUCUUAUCCCAUUCCAAACUGAAUCUAUGAACCAUCCUGGUUUGUUUCAGUAUGCCCUGGGCCGGGAUAGGCAGUUCACUGAACAUUGGUAACAGCAUCUUAAGGGCUUAAUCAUCAUCCUUAAAGUUAGCUAGACUGUAUCCAUAAUGAACAAGUAUUUUGUUCAUCUAUGUGUGGUUAGUGUAGUGAGCUCUUCGCCUUUGUACUUAAACUCCUUUGGAAGUGAGCAUUCUAGGGUUCCUAUUAUUGGCUUCGGUUAGUCUUCAUCUUCUUGCCAUUUAAUAAUCUGUUCUCCUUAUCAAGUAAGGCUCAGCCUGUCCUUCAUUUUAGCUAAAUAAGUGUAACCGAUAGUCCAUCACUACAUUCUUUAUCGGUUCAUGGUAUAAUUUGCUACAAACUAAGGGUAGCAAUUUCAACCCAUACCUGCUAACCUACCUAAUCCCACUCGAAGUAAAAGGUUUUCAGUGAGGUCCUUUAUUAUUAUUUAAUUGAAUUUGAGUUAGUUGAGAGUAACCCUAUCAUAAAUUGGUCGAACAUGAGCUUGACCAUCCAACUUGUUGGGUCACCAUGGUUUGAACAAUCCCUUGAAAUCCAUGUUUGGACUUCUAAGAUAGUGGUAAAUGUGCAGUAGUCCAUGGCCUAUUCAAAGCUUCAAAGCCUUUCACAUUAUAUAGUAAAUAUUCUUUUGUAUGUAUGACAACUAUAGUGAAGUGCUGAGCAAGGAUCGAUGUGCCGGUAUUGGAACUUGUGCCAGUAGCUCGGCGGCGUAGCUCGGUGCAGUACCAUGCCAUUCUGUGUCGAGCCCGUACUAACACAGUAGAGCCAGGGGAGGGCAGGGGAGGGAGAAUGGGAGAGGAGGAAAGAGAGAGAGGGGGGUGGGAGGAGAGGGCGAGGGAUAAAGGGAGGGAGAGAGAGGAAGAAAGCUGGCGGAGGGCCAGAGAGCUGCGCGAAGGGGCGGAGGAGGGGCUCCACCUCCGGUUCUCCUAUUGCUUUCGAAUUAGGGGUCCCAGAGGGGGCCCCUUUUUAUUUUCGAAGAUUUGAAGUGAAGUCGGCAAGGGACACCCUCCGGGAACCCUAUUUCGAAAGCAAUAGGGGAACCAGAGGCGAAGCCUCUCCUCCGCCCCUUCGCGCAGAUCUCCAGUCCUCCGCAGCGCUCCGUCGGCCAUUUGCCACCCUCCCCUCUCUUCCUUUUUUCGCCUCUGGAUCUCUUAUUGCUUUUGAAAUAGGGGUUCCGGAGAGGGCCCAUUUUUAUUUUCGAAGAUUUGAAGCGAAGUCGGCAAACCUUUGCCGACUUGGCUUCAAAUCUUCGAAAAUAAAAAUGAACCCUCUCUAGGACCCCUAUUUCGAAAGCAAUAGGGCAACUGGAGGUGAAGCCCCUUCUCCGCCCCUUCUUACGGCCCUCCGCAACCCUCCGUCGGCCAUCUGCCACCGUCUCUCUGGCCCUCCAUAGCCCUCCGUUGGCCCAUUUCGAAAGCAAUAGGGCAAUUGGUUCCCCCAUUGAUUUCGAAAUAGGGGUCAUGGAGGGGGCCCCUUUGUAAUUUCAAAAGCCAUAGGGGAACUGAAGGCGGAGCCCCUCCUUCGCCCUUUCACGCGGCUCUCUGGCCCUCCAUAGCCCUCUGUCGGCCAUCUGCCAAUCUCCCUCUCUCUUGCUUCCUCUCCCUCUCUCUCCCUCCCCUCCUCUCUCUCUCUUGUCCUCUCUUUCCUUCCCCUUCUCUCACCCCAUCGCUGGUUUUUUGUUUUGGUUGCUAGAACCAUCCUGAUCCGUCACUGUUACGGCUCGAUACACCCUGACCUAGGCGGUUCAGGAUAGUUCCGUCGUCCUUGGUACUGAGACUAGUAAUCAAGUACCCCAAAGUUUAACAAUAAUCUAACCGAAUUAUCAACAGUUUGUAGUAAUCAGAUUAAUAGAAUCUAUGGAUAUUUCAAUGAAUUGAGCCAUCGUGCCAUUUUGAUUAUCAUGUUUUAGUACUAUUACAGUAAUGUUGAGGUGGUAACAUCUAUUUUAAGUAGAGUAGCUAAGAUCUUACUUGAAAAUCUAUGACUAUGUUAAUUAGACUAUUUAAUAUGGCUUCAAUUACAAGAACCAAACACUUUAACAUGGAUUGACUAUAGGGCUAUUGUAAUACGUAUAAAAUUUGAAUGAACAGGACCCUAUCAGGUGAUACUUGAGAGCCAUAUUGAUGUUGAUGUGUAUAUGAAAUAAAUGAGAGAAAAGGGAAAAGUGAAACACAAUACACUGUUCUUAACAGCUAGAAGAACGAAUUUGAGAAUUAAAAAUAGGUUGAUCAGUUUGAUGCUAGGUAAACUUGGACAAGUCUAAAAGUAACUAUUUCAAUAAAACAUAUGAAUUUGAAAAAUAAGAGCAUUCAACGCAAAAGUGACAGAGAAAUUCAAAUGAUGUGCUGGAAAUAUGUGUACUUGUAAUUAUGUUUCGCAGGUUUCCAUUUUUUGAAAAGCUGCAUCCAAUAUCCAACGAAUUUCUAGUUCACAGGGACAUUAUGAGACUAGUUCUCAGGGACCUUAGAAAGCACUAUGAUGCAUGUUUAUGCAUAGCUAUGCUUUUAGAAUUUGAUUAUUUAUGAGAAUUCCAUUCUGUAGUUUUUUCAUGUCAUCUAAGAUAUGUGGUCUCUUUUUGCUAAAUAUGUUUUGUCUAGAUUUCCAUCACUUAAACAGGACAAAGAUGGUUGAAGAAACUAGCUGGUUUUCUUAACAGUUCGGUUUCUUCAUUGUGAAUCAACACUUAUUCUGAAAAUCAUAGUUCCUUUGUUAUUAUGGAUACACAUGGCUCUGAUGGCAUUCAUUGAAAUAUUUCUGAUUUGCAUAUGCUCGUGUUGAUUAAACGAGUAUUUGCAGAAAAAUUUAUAUAUGGCAGUUUCAUCAUUUUUUCCUUCUGGUUAAUUGAAUAUUUAUUCUUUCCAUUCAUGUCUUUGUUCCUUUUUCUUCCCUAUCUUUAGUUUUUGGUUUUCAAUAUGAGAAAAUUACCCAUGCUAGUUUCACUUAGAGACCAUGGGCAAUACAGAUAAAACACAGUAUAUAUGAGAAGUUCAAAGAGAAAGUAUCAACUUGUGUAGAAUCGAGUUCUAAGAUAUGAUUUGUUACAUGAUGGCGAGUCUAUGAGAAUGAAAAUAGUAUUUGAAUUUAUUUAUAAUUGCUUUACAUAUCUCUAUGUUUUAUCAUAUGUGUUUAUUUCCAGACCUUUUUCUUCAUGUAACUUGAGUCUUUCAUCUGUGUUACUUAUACAGGAAUGAUUUAUUUACACAAAUGUCAUGAACCGAGGUUUGAAGAUGCUGGUGACUGUUUUGCAUUGGCUGGUUCUUGGUCUGAAGCAGCCAAAGUCUAUGCUCAAGGACAACAUCUGUCAAAAUGCUUGUCAGCUUGUCGUCAAGCACUGCAGUUUGACUUGGGAUUUCAAUUUCUUCGUGAAUGGCCGGUUAUGGUGCCCGGAGAUGAUUGGAUUGAUUAUAUGAAGGGCACUAUCUCAGAUUAUCAUAAGUUACAGGACAUUGAUUCCCUGGAGAAGUUUGUCAGGGCUUUUCCAACAGAUGCAUUGGGUUUACUAUUGAAGUCUGAUUAUUAUGAGGAAGCUUCAGUUGUUGCAAAUUUGAAAGGAGACAUUAUGCUUGAAGCUGAUAUGCUGCGUAUAGCUAAACAUUAUGAAAAAUCUGCCGAUUUGGUGCUCUUUUAUGCUACAGGGAAGAUGCUUUGGACGGAAGGAAAUAAAGGUUGGCCUUUAAAGUGCUUCAAUGAACUACAGCAGGUUUUAGAAAAAGCCAGAUCUCUAUACAUGUCAGUGUCAAAUGAUUUCAAGGCCUAUAUUUCGGCUGAAGCUGAUUUUCUGUCAGACCAAAGUGCUAGCCUUACCUCCUUUGCUAGGCAUAUUAACAAUGCUAAGACUUCCCGGAAUAUAUGCGUAGAAACUUUUGCUGCUCGGAAAUAUCUAGACAUUUGUCUUCAGACGAGUGCCUCUGAGUAUUAUCAGGAAUCUGAUGUUGCCCUUUGGAGAUACAGAGGUUGCAGUGUGCAAGACAUGUUUAGUUAUGUUUCCAUUCAAAGUCUCAUGUUCUCUUGGAAUUCAUGGGUUAAAAGGGUAAAAGGUGUUCUGUCUUACUUCCACUCCAUUGGAACUCCAGAAGUGAGCAAAUAUACUAAAUAUGAAAAAUUCUGUCUGAAGUUCUUUGGUGUCCUCAAAUCAGAUAUUGAAGGAAUUUAUAUUUCUUCUAAUGCCCGAGCAUCAUGGAUUCGGUGGACAGAUGAAAAGCAUCUCCGUGUUUUAGACAAUGUUGCAUAUAUGAGUGACUUGGUGUUCAAUUGCCUCGCUGAGAAAUAUUGGGCAUCUGAAGUAAUUUCUGUUGGAGCAUCAUUGCUGAAAAAAUUGCAAGAGCUUCAUAGCCACCUUUUUCGACAUUCUAGUAUGGUCCAGCGAGGCCUUAUUGCACACUACUACUACAUGGUACUGAAUUGUCUCAAGGAACAUGGCUUUCCAGGAUUAGAAUGUGAAUCUAAAAGGUUCUACGAAAGUUUGACCAAUUUUGAUGCAUUUCUAUGCCGCACUUUUUUCCCUCUAGACUUCUCAAGGAUUUUGGAGCAGAUUGAAUCGUCUACACAAGGUACAAACACCUCGUUAAUUACUGCAGUUCUUCACAGAAACUUGGGUGUGUUGGAUCAGUUUGGAGCAGCAAAAAUUGGAAGAGUGGUGGUUUUUCUUCUGUCACGGAAACUUAGUUACACAUUGCACCGGACUAUUCGUGGCAUGAUCGGCCGAGAGUUUCCGUGGCAACAUUUUCUUCGAGAGCUAAGUUAUUCUAGAACUGAAGGGUGCCAGCGCACCACUCCUUUAGCAAAAACCUUCCUCCCUUCAUCCAUUUUGGAUCUUCAAAGUCAGCUGCUGCUUCUUGAGAGCAUUCUCUUUUAUGCAUCAUCAUGUCAAAUGGGAAGAGGAUGGUUUAUCACAUCAAGAUCUAGCUUGUCUGCAUUUCUUAAUGCCACAGAAUCUAGAGAUUACUUCCAUGCACUUUCAGUAUCUAGCAUUCAUUCUCUGGAGGAUGUGUACAGAAAUACCACUCCUUUCUAUGACUUCAUAUUGGACACCUCCGGUGAGCUUUUCUCUCUGAGUAAUCUUCGUUGGGCUGCAAUGAAAAGGUUGAGUACUCAAGCAUUGGUGCUGAAGAUGGUUAUAUUGGUGGGCCUUAUCUGUCUGAACUCAGCCAAGCACUUCUUGAAAGUAAGAAAGCUGUUGAAGAGGGUUGCUGGCAUUCUAUCAAUUUUGCCACACCAAUUUCUGAUUAAGUUUUGGAAUUCAAGGAAAGGCCGGGUAACGUCUUUGAAGCUCUUCGGUUCAGUGCUUUCGAGAUCAAUGCAAUCCAUGGGCGACCAAGUAGUGGUGGUUCGCAUGGAUGGCUACAGUGAAUCUUUUGAUCAUUUGAGGCCUUUACACCUGAAACAUAGCGACCUUAAGCGAGGUAAGGCGUAUGCUCAGGCAUUGCUAUUAGGAAUAAACGAGGUUUAACAACUACCAACAUUUUGUAAUUGUUCACAAACUCAUGUUUCAAGGUGAUCUGAAAUUGUUUAAAUUUUACUUCAGCUUUGCAGUUUAUUAUUGUCAUUAAAUAUUUAAACAAGUGCUUGAACUUAUCUCUGAAAUGUUUUUUUUAAGAGACGAAUGUAUGCCGAAAAAAUUAUCUUAUCCAAAAAAAUUUAAAAAUGUGAAAAGAAACAGGGUUUAACAGCUAUUUAAAUUCUAUAAAUGAUUUUAGACGCAUUCUUCAUGGUGAAGUGGAAACUGUUUAAAAUGUCACUUCAGUUUGCAGUUUGUUAUCAUUGCAAAAUUAAAACAGGUUCUUUUGCAUCUGUAGAAUGUUUCUUUUUUUCAAAAACCACGAAUUUUUGCUGACAUAAAUGAUUUAAAAAAAAAUGGGAAAACGUGGACGGCAGGAUUCGAACCUGCGCGGGCAGAGCCCACAUGAUUUCUAGUCAUGCCCGAUAACCACUCCGGCACGUCCACUUAGUUUAACUUAGCUUGUUCAAAUAUUUUCAUCUGGCAUAUUCUUUAUUCAUUGGAGCAAUUCAUACAACUCUAUCAUAAAAUUUCAAAACCAAGUCUCUAUGUGUGCCCCAAUUUGUUUAUGUUUAGUUUUUUUAUGUGCAGCUGAUCGCUAGGUUGGAUCUUUUUGCAUCUUCAUGUCGGCCAUUAGACCAAUGGUUGUGUAAACUAUGUAACAUAACAAUGAAAACGAUGAUGAUAAGGGAGGAAGAAGUCCCUGCCUUAUUGGAGACAUGGAAUAACAUAUAGAAAAUGGCUUGGAUAAGCAAACUCUCGAGCCCUUGUUUAAGCAUUUUUGCUUAGGUCUUGCCUGAAUAAGUAAAUAAGUGAUAACCAUUUUGAAAAUAUAGAGGAAUAAAGCCACUUGAAUAAUCAGAAGAAAGUUAUUUUUCUUGUUGUUUUAAACAUUCCAUAGAGUAAAGCAUUUUGUAGGGUUAUAUUCCACUAACUUAUGGAGAAAUUGAAAUGUGAAGACAACAAUACUGAGCAGAGCCUCUCGGAAAAAAUAAAGCAAUUAUAAAUAGGCCCUAAAGCUUUUGAAAACUCGAGCUUUCUAUCUGUUUGGCUAUGAGAGAUGAAAUGAUAUAGAAAAUUUUCAAAUUAGCUAGAAUUUCUUUUCAUUUGGAACAUGUAUUCCUUUUUCUUUUCCUUUUCCAAAUUAAUGGCAAGACUUCAACCACCAGGUUAUAACAUGGAUUCUUGGUUUCUAUGAGUAAUUUAUUAUUCAAAUAUCAUUGAACAUCAUUUGCAUUAUAUUUUGGUAUUUCAUAUUUUAAUCAUUAUCUUUUAUAAAAAUUCUUUUCCCUUUGAUAAAAAAUGAAAAAUAAAUAUAUCUUAUUUUGUUCUUAUGAUAUUUUUGAAAUAUUAUUGUGAAAAUAUUUUAAAACAUUAAUAACUUCUACACACUCAUUUUGUAUAUAAUUUUCUUACAAGCUCUCUAUGAUUUGAUAAUUCAUGCUUAGUUUUAUUUAUGCUGUAAUUAGAGUAAUAAUGAUAUUUGAUACAAAAAAUAUUAAUAUUUUUUAUAUUAUAUUUUAUUUUAAAUAAUCUAUGAUUUUUUAUGUUAAUAUAAACUUGGUUGGACUAGUGACGUAGACCUUUAACGAGGUCGAUCUUCAUAGAAAGAGAAGGAAAAGUGUGAUCAAUGAAAAAAUAGAGAAAUAUUGCUGAAAAUUGAUGUAAUUUUUUUUCUUUCAAAAGUGUCCUUAAGCAUAUAGAUAGAAUAGGAUAAGGUUUUUCUUUUUUAAAGGCAUAAUAGGUAUUUUACAUAAUUUUUUAGGAUAGUAAAUGUUCAACCAAACAUAAGCUAUUCUAAAAUAUGCUGCUUUUUUAUAGUCAACCAAACAUAUAAAAAUUAUUUUUUUCAGAUAUUAUAUAUUCGAAUAUCAGUUUUUUAGAAAAAAUAUUUUAGCAAGAAAAAUUCUUCUAGCAAAUCAAACAAACUCUAAAAUCAAAAAACAGAGUAGAAGUGUUCAUAGUGGAAUAUGUCUAAAGGUUUCCAUCUCCCCUGAGCAAGGGAGGCUGUUUUCUGGUUGUUCCUAUAAUGGGUCAGUAGUCGAAAUGGCACAGGAUCCUGAGAUCUAAGUUAUGAAUUGGCCAUCUAAAUAACUCAUCUGCUUGCAUUCCAGCCAAAAGACCACAGUUGUCGCUGAUUUAAAAGAAUAUUACCACAUAUAUAGGGCAUGUGCAAACAAGUUUCAAACUCCUCAUUUAUUCCAAUAAAUGUAAUUAAGCUUAUCAGAAGACAAGACUUAACAAUAGACACUACAAAAUUUACCUUUUGAAUCAUUGCUAACUGCAAGUUUUUCAAGCAAGUUAUGGAUAUCAAACAUAUUAAGCUUGGUUAUAAUUAAAACAUUCUGUUCUAUUAUAGCAAGCACUGAGUUGUAUUGCAGCUUAUUGGUAGUUAUCACAGCAUUACACUUCACCUCUAUGUAACCUGUCCUUCCAUGACAAUGCAAAGACACUUCUGACUACAGAAGAAGUUAGUAAAAUUUUCAAGGCAUUUCAAAGCCAUUAUUUCUAAUAUUGUUUGUGAUGUGCGACUAAUUAGAAUGAAAUACGACAAAUAUGAGGAUAUAAAGAAUGGGGUAGAAUGGAUCAAGGUCAUUGGACACUGAUGUCGUCCUUGGCACAACGAAACUUCACCCAUCAGCCUGGAAACCCCUUUCCUUCUGGGUGGUGGUGGUGGUGUCCGGCUGCAAAAGUUUGAGGGGAUGGAAAUGGAAAUCUAAUAGUCCCACCUAUAGACAAGAGACUUAUGCCAAACCCUUAACUUCCCAAUUGACCAACCACCAUGCCUCCCCCCAUACCUCCUGUUAACUUUAGCCAUGCAGCUCCCAGGGACAAGAGGUCAGACCCAACCAUUCCGUUGCUUCAUUCCCAUGCACCCCUUGGAAACCUUUUAAAGUAGGGGUUUGUUUCCGGGGUGGCGGCACAGGGCACAUCAUGGUUAGCUGCCGGAAUCCUAUAAAGUGCUUCCUCUCUCAUUGGUUUGGCCAUCGAGCCAAGUGGUGUAGAUACCCCAACACCUCCCCCCGAGGAAUCCAGUGAAAAAUCCAGUUACCUUGGAAACCUCGAAACCCUCCGUCACCUCCACCUGUGACAUGGCGAAUAUCUCCAGUUACCUUGACAGAGCGGCUUUUGUUGAGACCUUUGGGCGACCAGUGAAAGAGAAUGAUAUUUCUAACAUCGUCACCCAUAAAGUAAAGAAAUCUUGUUCUUGGACAACACAGCAACUCUCUGAGAGAGAGUUCCUCGUAUCAUGUCUGGACAACCAAAUAAGAUGCUGUCGGAAGCAUACAUGUAAUGGAUUUUGAAUUCAAAUAAGGACCGUACUAGAGACGUUGCUGGUAUCCCAAAAAAGUAAUGCUUUUUACGCAUCUUUUUAGCCAUGGCUUUCUUGCCGCAUGAACAUGGUCGGAAUGAUGGCAUCAUAGCCAUGUCAGGGGAAGGGAAAAAGCCAGUCAAAACUUUUUCCAAGCAACUGGAUACAACGUCUCCUAGGCAAGGUCCUGCAGCCACUGGAAAGCUGAGCACUCGCCUUCGAAAUAAAAAGAUAAAAAUGCUUAGUCUUGAGGAGGACGAACUUGUUCCAGAAGAUAUUUUAUACCUCAACACCCUUACGACCAAGGAGGUGAGAUUGCUCGGCAAAAAGUGCUACUUCUCUUCCAGGAAAAGUAGAAGCCUUGCCAGACAUCAAACUUCUCGUUGUGGACCCCUUCCAGUUGAUAUGCUAUUAAUUUGAUUUAUCAUCCACUUAGUAACAUAUUUGAUUCUAUAGUCAUAAAAUUUAAUUAUCCAAUUUAUAUCAGUAUUUGUAUUCAUACUUUGGGUGUCCAAUUAUAUCUGUAUCUAUUUAAAAUAAAUAUGGCUAUAAAUUUUUAUAUCUGACUAGCAUCGGUAUCCGUAUCUUUAUGCAUCAAACAAAAUAUAUAUAAAUAUAAAUAUGCUAGUAUUCGAUCUAAUUUCAGCCAUAACUUUCAACAUUUGUACGAUAUAUCGUUCAUUGGAUGCAUCACGAUGCCUUGUCACCCAAUUCACACGUUUUGGGUCUGUAUACUAUCUUACCAGUUAUCGAGCAGUGCUUCAUUAGUAGUGUAUUUUGGUGCAACUUUUGUCCCUAGUGGAGAUCUUGUGUAAUGGAAUCUAGUUAUCGUGCUGCAUCUCAUAAGAACCCGUUCCUAGCUCUCUUCUUACUCUUACCAUAUGUCGCUGCAUUGUCUAGGGCACCAGAACAUAUUUUAUAUUUAGAGAUGCAUAGCCAAAAUGACUGAAAUAAACAAGUGCAAGGAAGCCUAUUCUAUCUUAAUCCCGAACCACAUGCGGACUAGGUUCUGAUAGGUCAUCAGUUACAGUGCACACCUCAUACCUAUUAUCCUUUUUGUCACAUACCGCACAGCAGCUCUACUACUGCCACUAUUUCCAUGAUUUUUGUAUGCUGUCUAACAGAUUGCACAUAAAUCAGUCUGUCCCCAAUCGAUCUACUUAAAUGUUUGGCUUGGCCAUUUCUUGUGCCUUUUCAGACCUUUGUUAGUAGACAAGGCUUCACCAACCCUACCUAUGAGAACCAGACCAACUUGGCUUGUUCUGGACCAAAGUCAGCAAACUCAGUCGGCUUCAACUCAAAAUUCAAAAGAAAAAAAAAAAAUCGGAGCAGAGCAUUGCGAUCCCCCACUUGAAUGACUGCCAUUAGGGAGGCACGGCCAGCGCAAACUCCUCGCGGCCAAUAUGAAUGGCUGUUGAGGGCCACUGCAAUUGGCAAAUGGCCAGCUAAGGCUUAAUCCAAGGUUAUCCUCUUCCAAAACAUCUAUUUAAACCCCUCCUUCCCUUCAAUUGAUCCAUCAUGGCACCUCUUCCCACUUCCUCUCUCCUUCCCCCUUCUUAGGUGGCCGACGUGCCACCCCGGCCAAGCACCGCCUCUCAAAACCAUCUCUUUUUCCACUGAAAACAUCAUUCGUCUGUUUUCACAGACUGACCAUUGUUGCUUUCUUCCACUGGAAGUCACCACGGCUGGCCAAAAUCCUUCACCUCCAGCCCUUGCCAGUGAGUUCUCUAUCCCCGUUGAUACUUUCUUGGGCCGAGAAGGCUUCCACCGAGGUAGCUAGGCACUACCCCUCUUCUCUCCCCUUCUCUAUUGUGACCGAGCAUGUCCAUUCCCACUGACUGUCGAUGGCUGCUCUUCGCUGCCGCCUCACCAAAUUACCAUGAUCGUAUGUCCUAGAAGCUAAUUUGGCUGACAUAUAAUUUAUUCUGGGAUAUAAUUUUGUACUUGACUUUAUUAUUAUUGAAUAAUAAAUGGGCAUCUUUUUCAUUCAUAUUGUGUAUGUGUCUAUGAAUUAUCCAAAGAAUUAAUAAGAUAAUGAUGCAUAUUCUUAAGAGUUGAGAAUUUGAGCCAUGUGUCGUUGGUGAUUAAUUCUUGAAUGCUCCUGAUCGAUGGAUCAUCAUAAGAAUGGUGAUUGAUCCGAUGAGAUUAGUGCACAGAUCGCUUUCCUUUUGGAUGGACGAGUCUCGAGGUUACUAGGGCCAAGGAUGCCCCCCUGUACCAGUGCUGGAGGAUCCAUAGGCGAGUGUGAGCCCUCCCGAUCACGGACCUGUUGUUCCACUCUCGGGCCUCGAUUGGGCAAGACCCGAUGCCCCUUGUCCUUUGGCCCGCUCGUACCGUCGUGGUCGAUGGCCCGACCCAAGCUUCUGGCUUGCUCGCAACACUUUGGCCUCAGCCCACAUUGCUUGCACUAAUCGGCAAACUCCUGGGCCACUUGUUAGAUGGUCCCUAGCCCAUGUCCACCAUGUGGACCUCUGGACCAGCCCGCGCCCCAGUCGGCCCACUAUCUGAUGCCUCACCCACCGAGUCGUCCAGGUCUGCGAGCGAGUUGAAACCCGAUCCGACUCAGCCUCCCCUGCCGCCGACUUAAAACUAGAACCCAAGUCCCCUUCUCCGGCUGGCCUGUCCUUGGGUGGGGAGCGGCACUUGGCUACCUUCACCGGCUUCUGCCACCCGUCCGAGUCCGACGGUUUUUCGGGGAACUCGAAUGGUUGGCCGGAGAUUGUGGCCUCGAGGACGACGACUCGAGCAUGGACCCGGUCGUCUUCCUCGGCCGUGGCGGCACCCUCGCACCCGCGAUGGCUGGAUCCGAGUGGCCGCCAGCCAUGGACCAAAGAUUGGCCGCCGGGUCUCCUCUCCAAAACUAGAGUGCGGCUCUUCCCAUCGGUGUCCGCUCCGGCCCCUCCUCCAGCACCGACGCCAGGUGCCUGCAUGCCUCCUCAGCAUGCCCUAUUCAUCCACACUAGUAGCAAAUCUCAGGCACAUCCUCGUAGACGAAGGGUUGCCAGAGUACCCUCGUAUUCCCUCGGAUUUGGACGCUGGGCAGCAGCGAGGCAGUGGCGUCGAUGGCAACCCUUGCCCUAGCAAAGCCCAUCGCCCUUUGCUGUUUAGUAAAGCCGUCAACGGCAAGAGGCCGGCCCGCCGCCACCACGAUCUGGAGGAUCGUCUCGCUUGACCAGUACUCGACUGGGAGCCGAGGCAAUUAGAUCCAGACCACCGCCGUUUUGACGAUGUCCAGCCCCGGCAUGAAAUCGGGCUUCCACAGUUCCAUGGCCUACAGCUGGCUCGCCACCACCCAUGGCCACCAGUCAACACUGUAGCUCGAUCCGCCUUCGUCUUGAAUCGGAGGGCUAGGUGGUCGUCCGCGAAAGGCACCACCACCACCUCAGCCUCCAUCUUCGCCCGAGCACCUACAUCUUGAGCCACCCGCUCCGCCAGAAUCUGGCGACCCAAACUCCGGACCACCACUGCAAGAUCGGCCCAUUCCCUCCGCAACGCCUCGAUCGGCUCCUCCGGUAACUCGAGGACCACCGAGAAGAAACGUCGGAGUUUCUCUACCUCCGACUCCAAGGUGGGAUGCGUCACCCAUCCUCCGGGUUUCGCCCGGCCACUCGUUGCCAAUCCUCCUUCACCACCCACCCUACACAACUAUUCCUCCGAACUUAUCGUCGAUGCUAAGCCUAGAGAUGUUGGAUUUAUCGCAUAAUGAUCUUUCUGGGAGCAUACCAUUAUCUCUCACUGACUUAAGUUUGUUCUCUGGAGGCAAGGAAGGACCUAAAGAUCUUGGAGAAAUCAGUACACAAGACAUAAUGAAAUUUCCCAGCAUCCCAAUCAUGGCUCUGUUUUGGCUUAUAUGUAGUCAAAUUUUUACCUUUGUAGUUUUCCAAAAAAAAAAGAAGAAGAAAUAUUAUCGAGAGGUUAACAACAUUUAGCUAAUGCUUGCCUAGCUAUGUGCCUGGCUCCCUUACGUUUUUGUAAAAUGAUUACAGCAUGAUUAAAUGAUCAAAGUAUGUAGAGCAUGAACAAGGGUGUUUACUGCCCACAAGAUAUUAAAUCAAGUUCAUUAUUUGCCAUGCAGAGAAGGCAUCCCUUGAAGAAGCUGAUUCUCCAUAUCCCAAAAAUGUGAAUAGAUGAUAUAGAGCUUCAAUACACCUGGGGGCAAGACUUGCCACCCUCCCUGUUCACUACCUGCCCCUUGGAAAGAACAUUUCGCUGUGUUCCGAACAAACUUUUGAUCUCCUGAUUUCACUAUUACUUACCCCAAAACACUGCUGAACCCAUUUCUUAACCAUGUUAACGAUCUAAAAUCCCAUCUACUUCGUUCCACCAAAAAUUCUGAGAUUCUUUCUGACCUUAUCAUUAACAACAAUUAUGUUCAAUCUAAUUUUGAUACCACUGUCCAAAUGUUAUAAAUACGUUCAGGAGAGCGUUGAAUGUGCAAUUGGUGACCAAAGUGCCUCUAGAUCGACUGCACAUUUCAACAAUUCGGAAAGAGAUUUUUGACUGUUUCUUCAUGGUUGCUACAUAGUCCAGACUUUAAAAGCAAUCCAAUUCAUUUUCUUUAAAUUCUAAUCAGCGAGUACUAAGUAUUUGGUUACCUUCCAAUUAAAUGCUGUCACCUUCUUUGGACUGAGGCAAUUCUUGCUGCAGCAUGAGGAGCUACAAAUCCACAUUUAAUCAUUCCGAUCCCACCCUCCAAUUGGUUCUUGCGAGCUCAUCCGUGAAGCCUUUACGGAGAUAUUUCAUGCAGUUCCUAAAUAUUUCUGACUCACCUAAAGAUUUUCAUGAGCUAUGGACAGAUUGGAUGUAAGUUCUUGAAGAAAUCCUGUCAUCUAGCUAGGUUAGAUGACACUGAUGGCAAUCAUUUGUUAGCAAGCAUUGUUGGAGGAAGAAAAGAAUUUUCUUUAAUACUAAGAAAACAGCUGAACUUUUGGACACCUUUUUCCCUGGCCAAAGAUUGGAUCAGAAGCUCCUCUGUGAAAGAUCUUAGGAAGAUUUCUCCCCCAUUUAUAAUUGCAACUUGUUCUAGUCUCAGUGGUAGAAGUAUCUUCUCUCUUCCCUCCCAUUUUUCACCCCUAGGCCAGAGGCUCCUCUGGAAAGAUCCUAGAAAGAUUGCUCCUCUGUUUACAGCUGCAACUUAUUCUAAUCCUAGUGGUCUCAGUGGCACACGCCUCUCUCUCUUCCCUCCCAUUUCACCUUUCUUUUAUCUACAUGUACUACUUCCAUUUUCUGAAAUGAAAGUGAUUAGGUUAUGAUCUAGUCUUAAAAAGGAGUAGGGAGACAUGCACUACAGUUUGUUUCUCAAAAUAUUGCAUGCAUAGUAUUUUAUAGAUGAUUCAUUACUAUCAAGACUCAUAACUUGCUUAUCUAAUAAAUACCUAAAAAUCCAAAGUAAAUUAAUCACAUAAAUAAUGCAACAGAAACUUCCGCCAUAUUUUGUUAUCACUGUCAUUUCAGUGGGUUUAGGUUGUAUCUUUCGCACCAAAGAAUGAUUCACCUUGUUUCACAAUGUCAACCACCGCACAACGGCCGCUUUAAGAUCUGUGCCAUUGGAUCGCACAACGGCUGCUUUAAGAGCUGUGCAGGUGGGGGAGAGGCUAGCAUUUAGAGCGCUUUGAGAGCUGUGCAAUGCACAAUCCCAUGGUUGAUCUUGGGAAAACAAGAUCAAUCAUUCUUACGCAGGAAAGAUACAACCCGAUCCCCAUUUCAGUUGAGUGAAUUGUUUUGCAUGUCCCUGCACAGAUCUUAGCAUACCUCAACCCAUGUGGAUGACAGCAUCAUACUCAAAAAGUUUGAUGAAGCCCCAAACCUUCAUGUCUGACCCCAGUUAAGCCACUGACCUAAAAAUAGCUGCCGGUUCAAGAAAUAAAAGGCCGGAAAAAAAGAAGCGUUGACACGCAGGAAACCUAACUUUCAAAACCAUAGGCCUAAACGACUGGUAGUUCCAGGAAGGGCCUUCAUACAGCCAUGAAUGAAUGCUUCUCAACGAUUGUCAAGCUGCUCUUCCUUCAGUUCUCCCAACAAUUCAUCAUCUGUCUCAGGAUUUUGGCUUCCUUCUUCCCCCAGGUGCAAUUUUGAGGAUCCCAAAUAUCGGGAUCGCUUCCUUCCCUGUCGGUAUGUCUUCUCACUAUACUUUCUUUUGUUCUUCAUUUUGUUAUCUUUACCUCAUUAACAUGUGAUAUCUUCAAUCAGAUAAUUGUUUCUUCAUAGACUAAAAUUCCGUGAAACAACGGAAAGCUGCAUGCAGUUUACUGACUUCUGUGCAUUCAUUAAGCACGUCUAAUCUUGUUUGUAGAUGGUGUUAAAGAGUAGAAGCAACAAGUAAAAGAAUGGACGGACUAAUAUCAAAACUCAGUUCCCCAGAAAUCAACUCAAAGCAUUGAACAUGGAUGAUUUUCUGAAGCAAUAAUUGUCGAAAAAAGUUAGCAGUUCAACAUGAAAGGUUAAACCAGAAGAAACGUUGUGUAUUUCUAAUUACAGAAAGAAUAUUAUACAGAACAUACAUGCAAUGAUUCACAACUUUACAGUCUCCACUAGAACAAGCAUAACCCUCUAAACCAACCUUACAUCCAACGUCCGAGACUCAUUCUCUUUUCUACAUUCUUGCUUGUUACUUCUAUAUGGAAACAUAGGCUGUACAGAACCUAACAAGUUCCAUUUUUGAUAGACUGAAAGAGCACAAGCUACACAGCAUUGUAAUCCCUGAAUCAAUGGAUAGGAUGGUAUUGUGUGAUGCCACGCUUAGGUGGUAGCUUCCUCAAGAUGAAAAGGACCAGAGCUGAAGGAAGAAUUUCCACCAGCUGCAAACAUUGAACAAAUAACGUCAAAGCACUGAAAUGCUAACUAUGAGAUAAUAUAUAAUGGAGAAAGAAAUUGAAACGAUUGAGUUCCAUCAGAUUACAAAUCAAAAAUCUGCAUUAACUGGAGAUGAACUAAAAUUCUCCAAACUUGCUAGACCCUACUGGAUCAAACAACUUAGCUGGAUCUAACUUAGACUAGCACAACCUUAUUAUGCCAAGUCUGAGUCAGGCUGCAUCAAGAUCAACCAAACCCAAACUACGUACAUCCAAAACCGAUAACAUGCUUCAAGUGUGAGACACAGAAGUUAAAUAUCAUCUAAAGAUCCCAUUGCAAGAGCAAUUAGCCCUUUGUAAUGAACAGUUCCUCCCAUUACUCAUCCCCAAAAAGGAGAGAGCAUCUAUAUAUUCUACGCAUAUAUACACUAAUCUAGUAAAAUUCAAUUGAUCAUCUAAGGUUGUCACUAAGUACAGCUUAGAUAGAAUACCAAACCUGUCAAGUUACUUCCCAAUAGAUUAUGAUAACAGCAAGAUUGAAUAAUUCACCAAAAAAAUGUCUACAAAUUCAAAUGCUUUUUCACAAAGUUAAAUGCUCACUUCUACACCAACUUUCUAAGCAUUUAAGAUCAGAAACUACUCCAAGUAUUCACAUGAUUCACUUUUUCUUAAGAUACACACUUCACAAAGUAAAGGAAUUUGCAUCCUCAAAGGAUGAAGUUACUUCAGUAAUAUUCUAGAUCAUGUUUUUGAUGAUUCACAAUUAAAGAUUUCCUUAUUUACACCUAAUUUUAGCGACAUAAAACUACAAUGGUUACAACAGAAUUAAAAAUAGUCAAGGACCAAUAUCUUCAAAAACAAAUAUAUCAUCAAACAUCUGCAUACUGUAAAGUAAUAGCCACCUAUAUGUAUCUCAGUUAAUGUUAGUAUUUCAGAAAUCCUAGCCACCUACCAGGUUCAUUCAAAAAACUAAUAGCAGCAACAAUGAUAUGUAAUUACGUUCAUUGUAAUACAUGAUGUAUCUCUAACAUAUUAUAAUAUUCAUAAGAUAUGCUUUGAUUGGCAAACAUUUAAGUUGGGGGAAACAAUCAGGCUACCAUGUAAUUAUUGUUCGUGCCAAAGUAUCAAACUAUUACUUAGCGACUUAAAAUGAAUCGGAAGUUGAGAGAAAACAUGAAAUUUGGAAACUCUCUCAUGCAUAAGAAGUCUACAUGCAUGUGGCAGUUAUUAGAUGAGAAGUUAGUAAAAUGGUAGUUUCCAAUUUAUAGAAGAAACAGCAUUAAUCAACUUUUUUAUAACUAAAACCUAAAUAAUUUUAUGAACUUCCUUAAAUCUAAUAAUCUUUCCUUGACUUAUUGCUUUCUUGUCAUUCUGAUAACUUUUAGUUGACUUAUUGACAUUAAAAGAAUCCAGAUAAGUUUCCCUAUAGUCUUAGAAAAAGGCUGCUAUCACCAACAGACUGGGGAAGGACAAGUAUAAGAUGAUUUAAGAGAAACAGUCUACCCACUAAAGGCAUUAAAGCUCAAUCAAUUAUCAAAAAUUAUACGCAUAUACAUGGAGCCUAGUCCCAACCAUUUGACACUUGCUUGUGAAUCUUUCAACAACCUACCCUUCAUUCCCAAUACAUGAUAUAUUUAAUGACAUUGGAAGCUUUUCUACAUCCCUUUUCAAAGCUUCCAANNNNNNNNNNCCUAUUCUCUGGCCCUUUACAAGCCUAAGCACCUAUCCUUAUCUAACCUUCUAGGAUCUUUGUUGCACAAGUCCAUCCAAAAUAGGUUCCCAUCAUUGUUCCAAACUCAUAAAGCCUGUACUCCUCAUUUAAUAAUCACAUCCUCAUUCCUGACUCUAUCUUCCUAGAUUAACCACAUAUUUGCCUCAGCACUCCAAUCAGUCACUGACACACCAUAUUGCCGAAUGUCUUAAACCACACAACAUAUUGGACCUCAUUGUUCAAUGAAUGUUUCAACUAAGGUUCACCGUCUCGGUAUUAAACCCAUACUAGUACCAUCCUACAAUACAUCAGGUACGAUAUGAUACCGACCGGUACAGCAAAACUUGAUUUCAACAAACGAGCCAAAUCAUGAGUUAUCACAUCCAAAAGCACCCCUCCACUUCGCAUCUAAUUGAAUAUUAUUCUAUCAUAUAUGUAUUAUGCCAUAAAAAUCUCACCGUUUAAUAGAUUCAAGAUGAAACUGAAGCAUCAUUUCCAUUGAAAUUGAAAUUGCAUUUCAUAUAUUAUGUUUAUGUCCUAUUCCUUCUCCAAGGCCGCCUCCACAAUUAUAGUCUAACACAAACCAAGUUUUGUCUAAUCAACUAUAUACAAACUAAGGUACCUCUUCUUACAUAUCAGCCAUAAGUUCAUUUAUAAUGUAUAAAGAUAAGUGAACUUAAAUGCUGCCUAGUUAUCAUGCAUGUUAUAGAAAUUUCAGAUGAUCAAUAAAUGCAUUGAGCUUGUUAACAUCAAGUUGAUCCAUAAAGCUGAUCAAUGUAGAAGGAACCAGAUAGGACUUUUAGGAUAAGGUUCAAUGUUCUGAGAUUAGCAAUAACUGCAGCAUUUUGAACUUCUAGUUCCUCAUUACUUCAAGAUAUCAUUCACUAAUAGACGUUUUAUGAAAUGUAACAUGGAUUGGACCCAUACCAAGUAGAAUAAGAAGUUCAGAAUCGGAUGGUUCAGAACGUCUAGGUUUGCAGCUUUAUCCAAAGCAUUAAAGCACAUCUGUGAAACAAGAUUUGGAAUUAGUAGAGGUAAUUACAUCAACAGCUAAAAAGUGAGGCAUGCUUCGCCAAACAUAGUCGCCAGAACAUACUACAAAUUACGCAAAAAGUAUAGCACUUACCAUUAUACAUCUCACCAAGAAACAGGAGAAACAUAUGGUGGUCACAUAACCAACCUGUUAAACAGGGGGGGUAAAGGCAAUGCAUUAAAUAAUAAAUCAGGAGCUAGAUGCUCUAAAUGAAAAAUGCUUUGCUAUACACAGUAGAACCAAAAGUACCUCCUGUAAUUUUUUGCGUCUCCCUUUUGAUUCAACAGGGAAGCGUUGCAACAUCAGAAAGAGCCUAGCAGCGACAAUGAAAGUGAAUAUGAAAGACACAAGUUGCAUAAAUACACAGAUUAUAAUGUGCAGUACAUACACUGAAAUUUUUAAAUUAUGGAGUGUCAAAACGUAUGGAUCCCUGGAAGGAUACUAACCAUACCAAGUAUCAGUUAAGAGCAAUCUUUCAGAAAAAGGAAUCAGGGCGCUUUUGUUUAGGGGUCGGGGGGUGGGGAGUCAAUCUUCUAUGGUUUGCUAAUAUCUGUAUGAUUUGAAGGGCUCUAAAAUUGGUUAUUUGAUAUCAGUGAUUUGGUGGAUGAUCAUGUUUUAACACUUCUAGAACAUAUGAUUGCAUAAACUCAUUACAGUAAAAUACAGUCCUGUUUCCAUUUAUGUUGCGACCUAAAUAUGCACUACAAAAAGGCUGAAGCUGGCAAAUUUAGCAACGCAUGAGUUAGGAAGCCUAAGGACCCUGAAACAGUCAGCAAACAAAAUUUUAAGGGGAAAAAAUAACUAUAUUUACAAGGAGAACAAAAAUGAACUGCAAGGAGAGUAACAACAAAGUCAACAUAAGCAACAACUUUCAGUUUGGUUGUUGUACUUGCUAAGCAUACCUUAACCAUGUGUUCAGAAUGAGAUCUAAACUAACACAAGGGCUAGUUAUGAGAAUUAUAAAAAAAAGAAGAUAGCUAUGAGAUAAAUGUUAAAAUCAACCAAAUUAGUUAGAAUAGUUAGAUAGACAAAUAUCAUAAGCAUCUCACCUCCCCCCAUAGAGAAGAAACCCAAGAGCAGCAAAUAACGAGACACCUGCCAAUAUACAUAUGUGAACAUUAUUAUAGGUUCAAAAGUAUAUAGAUGAUUUUUUAAUUAAAAUAAUAGAAAGCCAACAAAUUAAAACUGCACCUGCAAAGAACAUCUUUGAUAAGAUGAGAACAGCUCGAACAGGCUUCCACCACAAAAGCAGCCACAGAGCUAUCUGCAGAGUACUACUUCAAUCACUCAAAAAAUACAAGCCAAAUGGUAAAGACCACAUAAUCUUUCCAAACCAUGACGGAUUAAAUAAAUAAUAAGUAAUCUAGGCACAGAAACAGCCUGAAAGUAUACUGUAAAGACUGCAAUUUUCUUAUAUAACUUAAUUGAUGUGUCGACUCAAUUAGUUAUUUGUUUUCUUCUACAUUAACAUCAAUGAAAGCCACUAUUAUCUGCAUCAACAUGACAUAAGGAAAAGAUACUUUUCUUAUACAACUUAAUGGAUUUGUCAACCCAUUCAGUUAUUUGUUUUCUUCUCAACUAACAUCAACAAAAGCCACUAUCAUUUGCAUCAACAUAACACAAGGAAAAGAUUCCCUAAAACCCAAGUUUUAAGUUCCCAGAUUACCAGACUGGCUUCAGCUGUCAUGGUUUUGUAGUAUCACUCAGUUUUAUCCAAAGCCCGUUUGUUUUAGUUUGGUUUCGGUUAAAACCAACACAUAAAAAGGCUUGUGUAUCCUUCACUCAGUCUUUUAUCCCUUUCUUGUUUUUCUUUUCACUUUCAGGGAAAACAUGCCAUGGUACAUGGAAUCAACCUCAUAGAAACAUUUUAAUAAUAUAUAGCAUAGGAAAUUUGCAAAUUUUCAGGAGGCCUGGAUUCUAUAUAUAUAAAUAAGUAAAUAUUGAGAAGUGUAAAUUUUUCAACCAUAUCUCUGUAAAAUUGGUCAAUAUUUAGCAGAAUCUUUCAUCCACAAAUGUCCAAAUCUGGAAAACGGACUAGUUGAAAGAAAUACAGAUUUACUUUUUAACCGAUAAUUUCUUAUUUUAGAACUUCAACACAUGUAUAUUUUUUUUAUGUAUGAAGCAUGUUGGAUGUGUUCAUUAUCAAAUUCUAUAGCCAUUCUUGUGGGUACAUGUUGCCAUGGUUAUUUGCUUUCCCAUAAGAAUAAGAGGUGACACCAAAUAGUAAAUAUUGUAGUGAUUCAUAUUUCAACAGUCACUCUUACUAUUGGAAAAAAUACUUUAAAUCAGCUGAUUCAUGUUUUCUAGCUAACAGUACCAUUACAAUGAAGCCUCGUCUCACUAUUUAACGUUGCCUUUAUGACAACUCACAAAAGCAUUAUGUUGUCUAAAUGUUAUGCUAAAAGGAAUUUACUCAAAUUUACUCAUCAUUCAAAAAUGCAUUUUGUAGGACGCAGAUGAUAUAGUGAGAUUAAGCAGCUCAAAUGCUAUUUUUUGUAUGGUAAUUACGAGUCUCUUGAAAUCUGCACAGAAUAUUGACUUAACUAACCAGUUUGCUGUUCAAACCAUAACCCAGAGCAUCUUAAUGAAACCCCAGGGGCAUUCAUUAACCAAGCAAGAGAAACUUUAACUAAUUAAAUAUGUCAUUAAUUGCACAAUCAUAAUAAUGCAUGCCACUACCACAAUAGGGUUAUUAACUUUUAGGAAUACCCCAAGUCAUUUCUUAACAUGUCCAAUAUUUUCAACUGUCUUAUGCGAUUUCUCAUGUGUUCAUCCACCAGCAUUAGCUGUCAAUACUUGUGAAUGCACCCAUUCAAGGCUCAAACCCAUAAUUUCUGAUUACUAAGCACGGGGUUAUAACCACUGAGGUGAGCCCCAGUUCAUAGUUUGGCAUAAUUUCAGAUUCCCCUAAAUCUAUAGGGCAGCAAAUAUUGAAUCUCAGUUCACUAUAACAAAACAUAAAUGGUAUAUUUGCAAGUAACAAACCAAAUGAAAAUUUUAACGAUGUUUGCAACUAUAAGUUAAUAAAAUAUGAAGAUUUAAGUUGCACCACAAUUUCAAAUUUUGUUGACAUAUCAACUUUUUGAGCAUUAUUAUAUAAAAUGAUUGACAGAUGUGUGCAUCUUCAUAUCAUUAAUAUGUACUGCCACUAAAGAGAUGUAUCAGAUCUCAAGCCUAGCUGUUGAACUAAUUGAUAACAAGAAUAACUAAAUAUUUUUCGAUCAUUUAUUUCGAUGGAAAAAAGUGUUUGAAAGAUAUCAAAAAAAUGUACCUUGCAGAAAAAGUGUAAGUCCACACUCAAAGCAUCUUUCUAAUCACAAUAUUGUGACUCCACCUACCACUUCCAAGAUUGGAGAAACUAUAGCCCACCCAUCACCCAAAUAAUGAAUGAAGUUAGUUCAUAAAAAUUAAUCUCUCAGCUACUUUUGAAUCUUUCACCUCUUUUUUCAUGCAUAGGGCUAGAAAUGAGCAUAUAUGGGUUCAAGACUUACCAACCAGGCCAGGCCUCAUUCACAUGGGGCUAGGACAAAAUAUCAAGGUGCAAAAUGAUUCUAGACAAACUCUGGCCACUGCAUAUACUCAUUGCCCCUAGAAAAAGCCGUUUGCAUGACUGAGCACAAGUAGAGCCUUAGUCAAAAGCUUGCAAGAAUUUUACCUCCUACUAUUAGAGCACCUACUUCCUUUAGUCUUGAACAACCUCAUAUUCCACGACCACCUAAAGCAGUUGCCGGGCCAAAGUGAUGGAGAUCCAAGUUUGUGCCACGUUGCAUCAUGCUGCAGCUUAGAGUUUUUAUUAUAUUUGAUUAUCAUUUUUUUAUGUAUUUUUCUUUUAUUUUCUGGUUAUUUUCAAUUUCAAUAGGUUAUUUUGGAUUCUAGGUUGAGAUUUAAAGAUCUCAAUACUUAUCUAAGAACCUAACUGCUGUAGCAUAUUACAAUUAAUGGCACUGUACAUGUUACAGUAAUCAUGAAUAGUAAGUGCGUCUUAUUAGGAGCAGUUUUGGAUUUUAAAAGAGUUGAAUUAGAAUUUCUGUUUUGUUAUAAAAAGGGGACGCUUAGUGUUUGAUAUAAUCACAGUUUAAGCAGAUUAUGAAUGAAAUAAUGGAGUCUUCAGUUUUCUUUACUCUUGUAGUGUGAGGUCUUGAAACCCUAAGUGUGACUCCAAGGUUUCAGUAUGAGUCCAGUAUUAUCUUUUCCCUUCUCUUAGUUUUUUUUUCUAUGUUUGAUCCCCUAGAGACUUAUUUGGACUUACUUCCUUGUCUCUUAUUCAUCUCUUAUCGAUCUCUAUUUUGGGUUUCACAUCCCAAAAGAUUUUUUUUGGUCAUAUAAAUAUCAGAUUUUCUUUCAAACUAUUCCUGCAAGCACGCGAUUUCAUAUAUUUAAAUGCAUAAAUCCUAAAAGUCUCAAUUUAACCUGUAGAAUCUUAAAUUUUAGGUUAGAGAGUAGCUAUUCAUUAACUAUUCUCUUCAAAAAUAUUAUCUUUCUAGUUUAGUUUUAUCGAAAACUAAGAUCUGCGAUUGAAUUUCCAGUACAUUUCAAUCAUAUCCUAAGCCAUUCUAGAUCCCCUUCACCUGUCCUACAUCACACAGCUUUGAAGCAUUGCUUAUGUUGCACCAUAAACCAGCAGGACCAGAAGCAUCAACCUCCUCGAGCCAUUGCCCAACCACCUAGGAAGCACGGAUGCUUCAAAUUACAUGUGUCUGUAUCAGGUAUGUAUUUACUGGUACUCAUUGAUUACUUCUUGAAGACAUGGCUGAUACUUAUAUAUCUUAUUUUUUAAAAUUAAGAAAAGAACUUCAAAUAGUUCUCAAAUAUACUUAGAGGUUGUUUGGUUGUUGUGAGUUUUUCUAUAACAAAUUAAUUCUCUGUAAAACAAGUUUCAAGAAAAAUAAGGGAAGACCUGUUUUCAUAAAAUUCAUUCUUUGGGUCUUAUUAAUUGUCAAUUUGGGCCAAAUAGGUGUUCCAAAAAAACACCAGACAAAUAUUUCCGUAAAACUCAUUUAUUUCCAGCUUUUAGUAAUCUUAAACUGCUAAAGCUCAUCAACCAAGCUUUGAGGUAAGCUAUCUAGAAGCAUCAAAUGUUUAAACAAUUGGAUAUAGUAUGCCACAAUAUGACACGAUUGGGUACUCCACUUCGAAGUAAAUCGGUAACACCAGCUAAAGUUGUCCAACAAUUGGACAUUUUUUGUUUAAAGUCUCAUCCAGAGAAACCUUAGUUUAAAGUGUUAGAUGCUUCAAAUGAAAUUUCCUUAUAUUUUAAGUUUAGAGCUAUCAAGAUUUUCCAGACUCUUCAAGUUUAAGUGUUGUUAUCACAAUUAAUAUGUACACUUUAAGCAAAGGGUUGUUAUGUUUUCAAUAUAAAGUUAUCAUAAUUAUGUGAACACUUUAAGUGAAAAUGUAAUUCAAAUUAGUUAUCAACUUAGGUAUCUCAAGACAUCUUAAAAAACUUUAAAUGAGCCUAGCAGAUAACUUGCAAGAAUUGUUACUAAGGUAUGGCAUUUUCCAUGUUCUUUGUCUUAUCUCCAUGGGGACAUGAUACGGCAUGCCAAAUACAGCAUGACACACUGCAAACAUGCAUCCUUUCAUAGCCCACGCCCCAUCUAAAUUCCUAAUCUUAAGGACUAUAUUAAUCAUGAUUGACCACAUAUCCUCAUUCUCGUACAUAAUAUGGCUGUGCCUCUCAUCUUUCAUCCAUCCAAGAUGAAGCCAUGGAAAGGAAAAAGGAAAAAAUGUGAAAAAACUAAAAAAGGGUUAAAGAAGUGGGAUGAGGGAAGAGCCACAAACAAAGAAAAAAAAUGAAAAGAAGUGAGAGAAGAGGGAAGAAUCUGUACCUUCCUCAUCACCACCCCAACUCUAAGACAUCCACCACACCUUUGAGCAGUAGGAGCAUUCUUCUCUCUCUUUCUUUUUAGCCUAAGCCAUAGGAGGCAACUGGAGGGGGUGUUGUUCCCAAGCAAUGAUUAAGGACUUUGAAAAAAGCCCUUUUCCCUAACAGUGAUGUUCUUAAGUGAACAUGGCCAUAGCAUUUCUAGUUGUAGAGCCCAGCAUCUAAGCAUGCGGCCCAUUAGCCAUAACCCAUAAAUAAGGCUAAAUAGAUUUAUUCAUUAAGAUUAUGUUAAUUUAGUGUUUUUCUAUUCUUUCUCCAAUUCAGGGCUAUUAGGAUAUAAAUUACUUAUUUUAUCCUGUUAGUUUUGCUAAAAUUUUAUGUUCUAAUAUAUAUACAUAUAUUAAUUAUAUGUCAUUGUGUCCCUGUAUACACAUUUUUUGAGAUUGUUGUGUCAAAUUCUUCGGGAUACUUGGACACUUGAUACCCAUGUCCCGUGUCCAAGAAACAUUUCUCACAAGCACAUGGUUAUUCCAUUAAGUUUUUGUUUGUUAGACAAACUCUAUAAUUCUACUUCCACUUUUAAGUUACUCUUCCGAAAUAAGCAUCAAAACAUGCACACGUGUGUCUACGUAUGUAGGUAGGUAUCUAUGGACUGACACAUAUACAUAUAAAUAUAUGUACGAGUCCACACACAUGUCCCUGUGCCUGGAUUUUUUGUGGUUGUCAUGUCCAACACUUGAGGACACUUCAACACUUAGCAACCAUGUCAAGUGUCCAAAAAUGAGGGAGGGCAUUUUCUUUCUUUUCUUAAAGAAUAACCUUUAAAAAGUUAUGGUCAAUUUUGUAGCCUAACAUGUCAACACUAAAAUAUGAAGUAUGCUUUAAGAUCUAUCGAUUUGAAUAAUGAUUAAAUGAUGAGAUUGUCAAAAUUGAUGCUGUCGUAUAAUGUGUAGAUUGUCAUUUUGUUAGGCUGCUACGCUUCAUGGAUUUUUCUAUUUACAUAUCUAAAUAUAUGCAUGUGUAUACACACAUACAUAUAUGUGCACUAUAGCAUAUAAACAUACAUAUAUAAAUAUAUAAAAGAGGAUGUAUAUACAUAUAUGUAAUAUUUAUAAGUAUGUGUAUUUGUAUGUGUAUAUAUGUGUGUGGGUGUGUAUAGAUAGAUACAUGUAUAUAUGUAUGUAUAUGUAAUUGUUUGCACUCCUCAACAACCUAGAAGGCAAUCAUGAGCAAGCGCCACGUGGACCAGUCAAAGUGGAUGAUAGUCACAUGACCCUUGCUGGACUGAUAGAGUUCGGCUGUGAUAAUCAAACAUGAAGGCACAAGCCAAAGGAGGAAGAUUCAGCAAUGACGUUGACAAGCAAGCCAAGAGAUUAAGACUGGGUCGUGAUCAACCGCAAUACAAGGUGGAUGCAUUGGUCUCAAGAGUCUCCCAAGGCACAUAAAAGGCCAUUAAAGAGAAACGGCCAACAUAAGCCAUGUAGGGAUAGGGCAAAGAAAGUUUAACGAUGACCAAGGCUGAUAGAGUAUGAAUAUUGGUCAAACAAUUAGUACAAAGUGGCCAUUUUCAUGGUCAUGCAAUAGUAGGAAGACAACCGCAAUUAGUUACCAAAACUACUACAAGUCGAGACUUGAUGCGGAUAACCGUCAAAGUGAGCAGUUACUAUAUUUUUAAUAUAAAUAAUGGAUUUGUACUAUGUAAUAGGACCCUUCGACAUCCAAAUCAAUGCAAUUUAUCUUAUCUAAGUUCUUAAUCUACCAGUAGUUUAUACCUUAAGAGCAGUGGUAACUUAAAUUAGAUUUCUACUAUCAUAGCCUUAUGCUACAUCCCUAUUCCUUAUACAGAUCCAUCUCACUCAAAUGGUAGUAUAAUAGUGGCAAAAAAUUUUGAGGUCAAAGCACCUGGACCCAUGGUUGAUGGAACCGUCCCGAACCGUUCGGUUCAAAGCGCACCAAGUCGUAUCUGCGGCAGACUGGAAUGGUUCCGACAACCAAAACGAGAAACUGGGAUGGAAGAGAUGAAGAAGGAAAGAGAGAAAAAGAGAGAGAGCAGUGAAGGGAGAGGAAAAGGAAGAAAGAGAGGGAAAGUGGCUGUCAGUCGAGGGCUGCGAAGGGCUGGAGAGCCGCGCAGAGGGGCAGAGGAGGGGUUCCACCUCCGGUUACCCUGUUUCUUUUGAAACAGGGGUCCCCGAGGGGACUUCUUUUUAUUUUCAAAAUUUUUAAGUAAAGUUGAAAUCCUUCGGGAGUCUUGUUUCAAAUGAAAUAGGAAAACCAGAGGCAGAACUUCCGCCGGCCUCCUCUCUCCCUCCCUCUCUCCCUCUUCUCUCGCUCUCUUUUUUUAUCUUCGGUUCUCCCUCUCCCCCACCUCCUCUACUAUGUCGGUAUGGGCCAGCACAAAACAACAUAGAAAUGUACCGACCCAUGCCAUCGAAAAACCGGUCUGCACCCCAGUUCCGGCACAGCAAUCCUUGCCUGGACCUACAAACUCCUAUAAUUCAAUUACCUUUAAUAAAAGACAUCACCACCAUCUUUUCGGCUAAUCUAAUACCGAUGGCAUGCUCGUGCACAUAUCUACCCCUUGCUAUUAGGCUUGUCAACUCUCUCUAUCAGACGACCGAGUUUCUUAGGACAAGGAGUUCCUUGGCACACCUAGACACGAUGGAAAGGGUGGGAACAGUGAUGUAUGUAGAUAUACAUAUGUGUGCAUGACAAUCUAGAUGUAUAUGUAUUUGUACAUAUGCAUAUGCAUGGUAUAUGCAUAUGUAUGUAAAUAUGUAUGCAUAUUAAUAUAUCUUAGCCAUAUCAUACUAUAUUCUUCAAGAUUUGCCAUAUCGAUGGAUUUGUACCGUGUAACAGCUAUAUCGCAUAUCCAUGUUGAUGCUUCUAGUCUACCACAAGCAAUCACAUAGAAAUUAGUUUAACACUACUUCAAAACUUCUGAGCUGUCACCUCCAAAGCGAAGAUUCUCACCUCCUUCAUACCGUUACCACAGAAUAUCUUCUCCUACUUUUAUCUUUGAAUUGACAAGCGAGUUAGUUGAUUAUAUUCUAAUACUUAAAAUAUGCAUAAAACCUAUUGCAUGUACCAAAGAUGAACUUGAAUGGGAUUGAGAAGGAUAGUUACUGUACAACCAAUAGAAAGGGCCUAAAAUGGAUAGACAAAGUUUAUGGCCAACACCAAUUCGAAGUGGUGCUUGACUGUAUUAUGGAGGAGGACAAUGUAAAUAGCAAUAGUAGACACAAUGACAAAUGUUGACAGCAUGUUUGAUAAGUAUUUUGCUUGCAUUAAGCUAAAAUUUUUGGACUUCACUCAUUUCCUUUUAAUAUGAAACUAAAUUUAAGAACUUUACUAUUGCGCACUCUUAAAUUUAUCUAUUAUCAAACUUUGAUAUAGUUACAAUUAUUUAACAUGAUUCGGGGAAUAUGUUGUUUAUAGUGACUUUUAAAGUGUUCUAAUAUAUAUCAAGCUACCAAUAACCAUAUAUUAAAAUUGUCUUGAUAUAUUUUAAGAUGUUUCAAUUCAUAAAUGCCCCUUUCUAUAAUUAAUAAUGUCAUUAUGAUAGUUCCCUAAUUUUGGUUCAUAAAUUCAUUUUUGAAAAAUUAAAUUAAAAUCAUGGGUCAAUGUACACCUCAAAAGAAAAAAAAAGACAAUUACAAGUUAUCCAACUUCAAAUCUAAUUAACUAUUUUAAUUUGUAAUAAAAUUUCCCAUUGUAUUAUCUUAUUAAUAUCAAUUUCUAAGACAUUAAGUUGUUUCUGGCUCAAAGAAAAAGUCUUUCAUAAGUAACAGCAUACAAGUUGCAUCCAUCAUGGCAUAGAGUUCCAUGGAUUCAUGGAUCAAAGGCUCAUAAGCCAUAGUUAACAAUGUGAAUGGAGCACCUAAAAAAGUAAAAUGUCCAAAAGACUACAUUAACCAAAAUGAUAACAAUAGCUCUUAAUUUCAGAUAUUACUUGAUUGAGAUCUGUCUUAGCUAUUAAAUCUCCAUCUAUUUGUUUUCGAUGUCAAGUGCCUGGUCCGUAGUAGUUGGAAUUUUCUAUCUAGAGUAAUACACCCACUUCAACAUCUUCCUUCCUAGAAUCUUGAACCUGCACCUACUUCCUAAGCACUUCCUUGCAAAAAGUGUUUCUAAAAUAUUCACUUCUCUGCACCCAUACCUACAUUCCACUCCUAAACUCGCUUCGAAUUCUAGCAACUAACAUCUAGUCUCCAACAUGUUAAUUAGUCAUCAAAUCAAUAAUUCCAUGCCACAAGACAAGAGGUUUGUACAAACCAAGGUCGUUGAAAUGAGGAAAAACUAGUUCACCUUCCAUGUGUAAAUUGGAAAACCUAUUGGCAAUCCAAUUUCUUUGAUUGCAUUAACUUUCCAGUUUUAUCAUACAGCUAACUAGCUGUGAGCAAACAGAUAUAUGUAUUUGAAAGAUAUGCUAGUCCAAAGUAUAUCAUUUGAUAUGCUAAUCAACUGUUUACCUGUAUAGCAUAAACCACUCCAUUAAUUGUAUAGAAAGUUGGCCUAAGCCCAUCAGUCGACACGGCACGUGCCUGAACACAUUCCAAUUCAGAAAAAGGAACUGAGUAGGCAUCCGAAAUCAUUUUAAGCAAAAAGAAACUAAACAAAGAAUCCAUGAUCAGUCAAGAUAAUCAAAAAUGAGCAAGGAUGGUUCAUCAAAUUGAGAAAUAUCCGACCUGAUAAUAUAUUUCAGCCCAGAAGAGUACCAACAGUGCAUAGGUUGUGAAGAAUGCAAGACCAGGAAAAUCAAGAAGAACAUGUUGAAAGAUCUGAAAUGCAACAAUAUUAUAAUAAUGGCUUGGAAAUAUUUGGUUCAAAUGCUCUGGAACCAGCACAUAGUUAAAGUUCAUCAAACCUCAGGCUUUAUCUGCUGCACAUUCCGACGAAAAGCAAAAAUAACCGAUCGGACUGCAAUUGACCGAUAUAACAGCAGUGUCAACCAUAAGCAAAGAAAAAUAUCCCCAGUGUUGUUUAUGGAAAACAUGUAUUGAAGGAUACAAACCGCCAUUCACCAAGAAAUUCAAGAAAUGGAAGACCUUUUGCGUCGUCCAACCAUACUCUGGUACUCUACAUUCAAUUCUAACCAAUUGUAUCUGCAAGGCACAAAAUUUCAGCAUCCAAAAGCAUAAUUUUUAAUGGAAUUUUCAAGCCUAGGAAAAUGAAAGGCCAGUUUUCAGUCUUCACUUUGUCGCAGAAAUCGUGAACUUAAUAACCCAGAGGAGGAAAAGUGUUCUCAUUAAAAAAAACAUUUUUCAUGGAAACCCUAAAAUUUCCAAGUUUUUCUAAGAAGAUUCUUUGAGUGCAAGCAUUGAACACGCUAACCCUAGGUUUCUAGUUUUCUGAACAUGAAAAGAAUAAUCUUUUCAAAAACUGAGGCUUCGAAUUAGAAACCCUAGCGACCUGAAAAUCGAGGAACAAACAAACCAAACGAUCGAAUCGAAUAACGACAAAGGGAAAGGUAGAGAUCCAACCAGAGCCACGGCUCCAACGAAUCCAAAGAGGCCCGCUAGUGUAUGGUAGAUCCGGUCCUGCCACAAAGGCGAGUUGUUCACCUCGUCCCACCAAUUCGCCGCGCUCGUGAGCGCCACCGCCGCCACAUUCGGCACCACCGACGAGGCCAUCGGACCCCGCUGGAACUCCCCCCAAUAUUUGAAAUUCGAAUUCCCAGUGGCCGGUCCCUAAAAAUUCUCGGAUCCGAGAAGCUGGAGAGCCAGAGAUUGGAGAAAUCCAGGAGACCGAUAGAAGAGAAAAAAAAGGACCGAGGAAGGGAAAGGCGAGACGAAACCCGAAAAAAGACGAGAGGGCUGGGUUAAAACUUCAAAAACGGCCUCGGUUUGGAUUGUUGUAGCCGAUGGGCUGCUUCUAGCUCGUGCGGGAAACGGCCAGAUGAGUCGGACAGCCGGCAAUAGCCGGUGGGUUGGCUAGGGUAGACCGACACGUGGGAGUCUCCGCAGGGAACAGCUCAUUCGAUGGAGGUCCAGAUUGGCUGACGGCUAUGAUGCAAUCCCACGUGACGUGGGAAUUAUGUCGUUGCCGUAAUAAUUAUGCCACGUUGGAGUAGGGCAGCCCACGGCCGACUAGAACUAUCCUACGCUUUAACCUGGGAGGCCCAUCAAAUUAUGAGCUGGGCUGACGCCGGGUGAUAAAUUUUUGUCGCAAUUUAGAAUCCAAUUUAGCUUUGGAUGAUGACCAUCAUAGCAUGCUGGGGUCGGUUCAAAUCAGAGAUUCACUAGAUAAAUAAACUAUAAAGUCAUCAAAUUUUACCGCCAAAUAACCCCCGAAAAAAACUAAUAGGUGCUACUCCAAGAAGUCUUCACAUACAAAGUUCAUUAAAUAUUUCUAACCACUGGAAUCUAAACAAACAAAAAAGAUAGUGAAAGUCAUUUUUUCUACUCCUCUCUCUAGCUUCUGUUUUUUUUUCCUCUCUCUCCUUGUUUUACUUUCAUACUCUCUCUUUCCUUCCACCAAUUUAGAUAAUAAUAUUAUUUUGCAUCACCAUGAAACUCUAUAUAUGAGUGAGGACCAACACUCUUCAAUUGCUGCCUCAAGAGUAAAGUCUAUUUUCAAUAAUAUUUUUUGAUUGUGAUAAUUUUUUAGACCUCUAAGAGUUUAGAAUCAUCCUGGGGUGAUUCUCAAACCAUGUUACUGUUGAUUUGUAGGAGAAUGUGUGGUGGACUAUGAUCCAAAGUUGACUUUAUGAGCUUACUCGACAGUUUAAAACUUUACCAUAAUCAGUCCAGAGAAUUUUGGUACUAAAAACCCUCUGAUUUGAUAUCAAGUUACUUUAUCAAUUCACCUCGAAUGGCAUCAAUUGAAAUUUGGACAAGGAAGAUAUGGAUAAUAUGCCAAAGAAGUGAUACUAUUGCUUAAACUACCAAAUUUGCGGACACUAGUAGUAGCACCAGAUGCAUCUAAUGGUUCAAACGAAACUAUCAAGUCCAUAGAAAGAAAAAUAUUUUAGUGGAGGAAACUCACUUUACCAUGAAUUAGGUACCAUCAAAAUUUUUAAAACAACUACUUCUAAAUAUAGAAUUUGUUGGGAAUAGUCUUCUUGAUAUAGCACAAGGAAUCCCUACUAUUUGAUAUAUGCCUUGGUCCUUAUUGCAUCAAGAUAUAUGACAAACCCACGAAGGAAUAUGGUAAAUGGUCAAACACCAACAAGGUUGAAGAAAAAGCAUCAUAUGGCAGCAUUGAGAGCUGUACUAGAACAAACCUAAAGGUCCAUACCUCAUCAUUUGUACGAAGCAUUCUUAACACACCAAUAAUAUGUUAUCGCAUGCUAGAAAACUAAUCCACGAGUCCAAGUGCUUAAAUUUUGUGACAAAAAUAUUUCUUUGUUUGAUUAGAUUAACUUGCAAUCAAUCAAGGAAUCUAGUGCAAAUUAGUCUCAAAGAUGAGUUUAACAUUGUCAUUGCAGAUGGAGUUUGAGUUUCAAACUUCUUCAAUGCAUCGAUAUCUGUAAUCAAGUAAAAUUUCUAGCUCAUACUAAAUCACCAACAUCAGAGCUUGAAUAAGGAAGAUAUGGCUGAAAACAAAAUUGAUGCUAAUGUUUCCAUUUUUGGCAAUAAAGACUAGGGUGUUGGUGUGAAACCAACAACAGUGCUCUACAAUCAAUUGCGAUUAUUGUUAGUUUGAAAUUUGCUACUUUACAAGUCCUAUUUAGCCUAGGAGUAAACUCAUGCACCCUAUUAGCCAUCAAUAUAGGUUCUAAUGGCGACAUAAGUGCAUCAAAUGGUCCAGAGUUCUAUAAGCUUCUUUAAGGUAUGAGAUUGCUUAUAGAAGGUCACUUUUUUUUAGUGGUAUGAGGUUGUGUUGUCGAUUCAAUUAGUGAGAAGAAAGGAUUUUCUUUUCUUUCAUUCAUGUUGCCCCCUUAUGCAGCCUAAAAGAGAGGGUGAAUUGGAUUUUUUAAAAUUUUAAACUAUAAGUACAGUGGAAAGAUAACUUACUAAUGUGUAUGUGAUGUAAAAUGAGAGAUAUGAGCAAUAAGUAAGGUGAUAAACAAAAUAAAGAAAGAACGCAAUCAAAGCACCACAAAUACAAAAGAUUUAUAGUGGUUGGGUGCCAAACCAAGUAUCUACAUCCACUCUCCAAGUCCCCUACUUGAAAACUUCACAAACGAUUACAAUGUCAGAUACCACCGGCCAAACACCCUAGCUCUCCAAGCUAGUCACUUAUUUUCUGGAUACGAGCAAGCCUUACACACACUCCAUUUCAAGGUACGGAUCAACCUCUCUAAGUUUCAACUCAACUGAAUCUUGUCCCACGAAGACAAUGAAAUACAACAUAACAAUGAUUAAUAUACAAUGUCUACAAUUAAAGCUCCUUAGUGAGAAGAAAUAAAUCAAUUAAAAGCCCUUUUGAAAUGAUGGAAGAAAUCUCUUAAUGUCCACUCCAACUGGAAAUGCUUAAUGAAUGCUCUUGAAGUGGUUGGUGAAGUUGGAUUGAAUGCUUCUCACCCAAUGAAUGCUUUUCUUGCUUUGAAUGCUCUUUUCGCUAAUUCUUCUUGAGUUUUUCUCUUAUUUUUCAUCUUUUGGAGGCCUAUUUAUGAAGAGAAGCUGCUGAAAAGUGAUUACUAGCUGUUGAAGACAGUUGGAGAAAGGUUGAGCUCAUUUAAUGCACUUCAUUCUCGUUGGAAAACUAGCCGUUACAACCUGCAAGUACAGAGAGGUCGACCUCUGGUCUAGGGGUCGACCUCUAGAUGGAACCUAGAGGAAACUUGAAACACCAUCCCUCUGUUUUUUGCUUGUGGCACAUCAGGGACCGACUUAAAGGUCGACGCUUGGUCCGGCGGUCCACCUUAAGGUCCACACCUAGUCUGUGCCAAGCGUGCCACUCAUCUCCAGCAUGUUGGAGUCGACCUGCAGAUCAACAUUAUUAGAUGUAUGCCCUAAAAGCCAAUCUGCCUGAUACAUUAUUUAUUCUGAAACAUAAUUUUGUACUUGAGUUUGUUAUUAUUUAAUAAUAUUGGGCAUCUUUUUCAUUCAUGUUGUGUAUGUGUCCAUGAAUCGUCUAAGAAAUUAAUAAGAUGAUGAUAGAUAUUCUCAAGAGUUGAGAAUUUGAACCAUGUGUCAUUGAUAAUUAAUUCCUAAAUGCUUCUGAUCGAUGAAUCAUCACGAGGACGGUGAUUGAUCUGAUGAGAUUAGUGCACAGAUUGCUUUUCUUUUGGAUGGACGAGUCUCGAGUCCACAGUGUAGGGACACUGAAGUGAUAGUGCAGGUGCUUGUUAGAGAACAAGAGUACCGAGCGUGACCAAAGCAAGAAGUCACUUGGAUGUCUAUCCACUCGUCAGUGACUUACUUGAUGUUGCAAUGGUAUGACUGAUCUUUCGACCUGUGGUGCCUCAGCUAUUCACAAUGAGGUUGCUGUAGUUUGACUGCACAUAUACAUGGUCUCUAGCCAUAUGGGUUCUUGUAGUGCAGAUUGGCUGCAGUAGGUUCACUGUAGGAGUAGGGUAUGCACCUAUAUAAAAUCUAUCGAUCUUGAUAGAUAAAGAGUAGUCCUAUGUGAUUUAUGAGAUUGAGUUCGUAAGAUCUCGGCCAGGGCAGUAUGUACAGUGGAAAAAGAGUUUUCCACUCUCGAACUAAAGUCGAAAAAAUCUUAACAUAUGACAAACAAUGGGGUUUGACAGAUUAUCCAUGACAUCCGUCUCGUAGGGAUCUACGAUAGAAGGACUAUAUCAUACAAUAGUUGUACCUAGAAGUUUAUCUAUUUCAUUCUGCUGGAUUACCACUAUAUGCUGCUAGGUGUCACUGGUGGAUGGUGAGACUCACAGAAAUUAUCUUGAUGGUCAAUGAUCCUUGUUGAGAUGAGUUGGAAUUGUUCCAACCCAUUGAAAGGAGUUUUCAAUGAUAUUGUGAUAGGGAUAACAAUAUAUCUCACUACCAGACAGAAUAAAAACUAUGGGAUCACACACAUUAGAGGUUUUGAUCGAUCUAAUGGUUAGAUUGUGAUUUGGAAUCACAAUAAAUCAUGAUUAUCAAUUUGAUUGAUAAUUGGUUUAACCCACUAAGAGUUAGUGAGUUGAAGAAGGAAUAAUUGCAAUUGGAUUGUAAUUUGAUUGAAUCAAUUUGACUUAAUUAAAUUGGGCUUGACCUUAUUAGAUAAGGUUUAAGAGUCCUAUUUGCAGUAGGACUCCUAGAGUCCUAAUUAGAUUAGGACUGCAAAUUAUAAGAGUCCUACUUGGAGUAGGGCUCCUAGAGUUCUAAUUAGAUUAGGACUUGGGAAUCUUAAUGGAUGUAGAAUCCUAAUUGCAAUAGGACUCCUUAUUAGAUAAGGAUGAAGAAUCCAAAUUGCAAUAGGACUCCUUAUUAGAUAAGGAUUAAGAAUCCAACUUUUGGCGAGAGCAGUCCAUCCCCGAUAUUCGUCGUGGAGUGCACCCGGGUAUAGGCAGCAGAGAUCAUUCAUGCAGGCUUAACACAUGAGCCUUUAAGAGCUCGGGGCACCUGGGGCCCCCACUCUACUGAGGUAGCACCUCACACGGUGUUUUUCACCUAGGAGCCCCCACCCAUGAGCUUCUUUAAGGUCAACUUUGAUGGUUUUGUGCUGGAUGCGGCAGGAGAGGAGGUGCUGAAUUUGUCAUUAGGGGCCCGAACUUUAGGGUAGUGGCUACUGGUGCAUGCCAGAUCUUCGAUACCUCAGUUCUCUGGAGUAAAGUUGCAGGCGACUUGGGCUGGCCUAAGCCAUGCAUUGCGAGAGCUAUAGGCCAGCUCAAUUAUAUUGGAAGGCGACUAGACCACCGUGAUCAGCUGGAUCCAAGGUGGCUCGAGUGGCGGUGGAGAGGGACACCCUCUGCUUCGAGAUAUUUGGGCAAUAAUGAGUGACAGGGUGGCCUUUCAAGCUAACCAUGUAUUCAGAGAGGCCAACAGGCAGCGGACUAGGUGGCUUCUUAUGUAGCCUGCUACUCUAGGGGCACCCUGUGGGUUGGGGAGGUGUAGUUGCCUAAAGCACUCCGAGAUUUGUUGUUUUCUAAUUUUAUUGGAUGUAUCCGUGCUCGUAAUGUAUAAAAUAACUAUUUUUAGUAAAGAAGUAAAAAUAAAAGAGAUGGAGCUCGAUGAGACCUAUACAUUUUUUCUACUCACAAUAAUCAUUAGAGAAUCACGCUCAUAAUGGAUGAAAAGAGCCCAAAAUGAAUACGACCCACAAUAGACACGGCUCCAACAGAGUGAACAGGGCCGAAUAUGGCUCAAAAGGUAUACGAUCUAUAAUAGACACAACCCAACAGGAUGAACAGGGCCCGAACUCGGCCCACGAUGGAUGCGGCCCAACAGAAUGAAUAGGGCCUGUUAUGGGGGAAUUGAGCCGCCAUGCCCCACGUGAUCGGCACGCGUAUCCAGGAAAGCUACAGCUGCCCUAUGAUCCAGCACUCCGACCCCGAGUCGGACCUCCUCGGCUCCGCAGCCCNNNNNNNNNNNNNNNNNNNNNNNNNNNNNNNNNNNNNNNNNNNNNNNNNNNNNNNNNNNNNNNNNNNNNNNNNNNNNNNNNNNNNNNNNNNNNNNNNNNNNNNNNNNNNNNNNNNNNNNNNNNNNNNNNNNNNNNNNNNNNNNNNNNNNNNNNNNNNNNNNNNNNNNNNNNNNNNNNNNNNNNNNNNNNNNNNNNNNNNNNNNNNNNNNNNNNNNNNNNNNNNNNNNNNNNNNNNNNNNNNNNNNNNNNNNNNNNNNNNNNNNNNNNNNNNNNNNNNNNNNNNNNNNNNNNNNNNNNNNNNNNNNNNNNNNNNNNNNNNNNNNNNNNNNNNNNNNNNNNNNNNNNNNNNNNNNNNNNNNNNNNNNNNNNNNNNNNNNNNNNNNNNNNNNNNNNNNNNNNNNNNNNNNNNNNNNNNNNNNNNNNNNNNNNNNNNNNNNNNNNNNNNNNNNNNNNNNNNNNNNNNNNNNNNNNNNNNNNNNNNNNNNNNNNNNNNNNNNNNNNNNNNNNNNNNNNNNNNNNNNNNNNNNNNNNNNNNNNNNNNNNNNNNNNNNNNNNNNNNNNNNNNNNNNNNNNNNNNNNNNNNNNNNNNNNNNNNNNNNNNNNNNNNNNNNNNNNNNNNNNNNNNNNNNNNNNNNNNNNNNNNNNNNNNNNNNNNNNNNNNNNNNNNNNNNNNNNNNNNNNNNNNNNNNNNNNNNNNNNNNNNNNNNNNNNNNNNNNNNNNNNNNNNNNNNNNNNNNNNNNNNNNNNNNNNNNNNNNNNNNNNNNNNNNNNNNNNNNNNNNNNNNNNNNNNNNNNNNNNNNNNNNNNNNNNNNNNNNNNNNNNNNNNNNNNNNNNNNNNNNNNNNNNNNNNNNNNNNNNNNNNNNNNNNNNNNNNNNNNNNNNNNNNNNNNNNNNNNNNNNNNNNNNNNNNNNNNNNNNNNNNNNNNNNNNNNNNNNNNNNNNNNNNNNNNNNNNNNNNNNNNNNNNNNNNNNNNNNNNNNNNNNNNNNNNNNNNNNNNNNNNNNNNNNNNNNNNNNNNNNNNNNNNNNNNNNNNNNNNNNNNNNNNNNNNNNNNNNNNNNNNNNNNNNNNNNNNNNNNNNNNNNNNNNNNNNNNNNNNNNNNNNNNNNNNNNNNNNNNNNNNNNNNNNNNNNNNNNNNNNNNNNNNNNNNNNNNNNNNNNNNNNNNNNNNNUAAAUCGCUGAGAAGAGGUGGACGGCUGAGAGCUGAUCACACGCGCUGGGGCGCGGUGGAAUCGCCACGGACGGCCGGAUGUUGGACUCGGGACGCUGAAUGCUUCGUGGACGCACGAGAGAAACACUUGAUCGCAGGUUCCAAGAGCUGGGAGAAAGGCUGAUCGCGGCAUGAUUUGAUCACGGAUCCUGAGACGCGGACGGGUCUUGAGAGGGCUGAUGUGGCUAACGGACACGGCAAGGAUGCUGAAGUGCUUAUGAAUGGCUGAAUCUGGGCUCUGUUCUGCAGCUGGAAAGAGAUGAAUUUAUAUAAUGAUAAAAAUUAUAAUAAGUGCUAAGGGUAAAAUAUUUAAUCAUGUAAAUGUUAACACCUAUUAUUUUCAUUAUUUUGCUUGCAUUAGGCUAAGUUAAUUGGUACUUAGAUCGCACUUUUGUGCUCUCAUCAGCUGGAGGCUAGAAAACCUUAGCUUCGGUUUCUAUUAAAUAAUCUAAGACCUCCCCCAAUUUACCCCACCACUGAACAAGCCACCAACUAUCCUAUUCUUCCUCUCUCUACGACUCAUUGCCAUGCCACUGCUCUAUUUUCCUCAAAAUCCCAAUCAAGAUAUUACUAGAGAUGAGGUAAUUGUGCCUAGCCACUUUCUCUCUCAACUUACUCUUGAAUAGAACCAUACUGCUAGUUGGGAUCUCCUCGAAAGAAUAUUGGAUCUCACCAUUUCAAUGUGACCACCUGCUAGCCCACUAUGACUACUAGCAACACACUCAUCACUGUGGCCCUCUUUCCCCUUCCAAAAGAGGCGGUGGAGCCUUCUUCCACCCAUCUAAAUCUCUAUUUCUUCCAUUCAGUUUCCAUCGCCACUUUUUACCAAACCUCCGGCGGUGCUCAUUGUGUGACCGUUGAGCCAACCACCUCGCUUUCCUUCUAUUUCCCCUUAAGAAGGUCACAAAUAGCCCUCCUCCUGGGUUUGGCCAAGUAUAAGAAAAGAGGGAGAGUGUUCUCUAUUUUCUUCUUCUCACACGAGCUCUCUCUCUCUCUCUCCCUUCCUCUCACACGAGCUCUUUCUCUUCCUCUCUAGUCUAUGGGCGGGCCCCGAUAGAGGGUCCUUCUCAUUGUUUCUCUAUGCCCCUAUUGAUCCUAGUAGAGAGUCUCGAACUAGUGUUUCCAUGAUCGUCUACUGUGUUCGGCCCCACCCUAGCUUUAGCCGGGUAGCAUUGGACACCAUUAUUGAAAACACUUUUAUAUCACUUUUGUGUUGAUAGAACUCUUAGUUCAUAAUCCUUUGGUAAAAUUACAUAUAACCUAUCUGGACUGUCAAUCAUCGCCACUUGGCUAAUUGUACUUUUUUGUCUCUUUCAAGAUCUUCCACCAUUAAUCAAGAACAUGAUAGUUUUCCAAAUUAUUAGUUGUGGUUCCUAAGGAUGCAAUUGAUCAGACAAGAAGAUGUUGAGCAAGAAAUUUUCUAGUCUCUAAAUUGAGGUAAAAUCUAAUUUCUUACUUAUUUAUGUAGUCUCAAAUUAAGUAGGAUAGAACUAAUUGGGCUAAGAGUAAUUUGGAUAUUAGAGAUAAAAUUAGAAGUUUGGUAGUUUUUUAUUUAUUUCUUGUUCUAAAGGUUAAUGUGGACAAGUUGGAUUUAGUGAUUUUAGGUGUACCCUAGUAAACAUUGUACUUGGGUCUAUCACCGAUAGAGGUAAAUAACAUAGCACUUCAUAGUGUUUUUUCUUUACAAUUUGUUAGAAGAAAUGAUUUGAAAAAAAAAUACGAUUAGUAUAUUAAUAUUACUUUAUGAUCUCUGCUUUCGGUUUGACAAAAGGAAUUAAGCAUGUUGUUAUUAUUUUUCUAAUUAUUUAUUUUUGGAAUGAAAUAAGAAUAUAGUAUGUGUUUUGAUAUUCUAGUAAAUGAGUUAUUUUUGAACACAUAACAAAUUUGAAAAAUAUGAUUGGGUAAUUGUGAAGUUGCUUAUAUUAUAUUAUAUAUAUAUAUCCAUACAUACAUACAUAUACAUAUAUAUACAUACAUACAUACAUACAUAGAUACAUACAUAUAUAUAUAUAUGUAUAUAUAUUCUCAACAUGACUAUGGUUUGGCCUCGAAUUGUAUAUUGUGCCUAUCAACUUAUAAUCUGCAAAAAUAGUUUCGAUACCGAGCCAUUAGUGAUUAAAAUAGUGGUAUAUGUUAUCUGUUUUUUGGCACCUAGUGCAUCUUCUAUCUGUUACAUCUAUGUUUGACCCAUACUACUAGGUUAUAUAGCCAUAAACUGACGUUGAGUUUAGUAUCAGUUUAUAAAAAGCAAUUUUUUUGAAAGAUAUAUAUGUAUUUUCUGCAAAUUUGCUGAGAAAAUAAGUUUACUGCCAGUAAAUAUUAUGUUUUAAAUUACUAAGUGAUGAUUUAUUAUUACCUAGUGAUGUUUUGGGCUUUUUAAAAUUUUAACCUACAAGUGCAGCGAAAUGAUAACUUACUAAUGUGUAUAUGAUGUGCAAAGAGAGAUGAACAAUAAGUAAAGUGAUUAGCAAGAUGUAUAAGGCACACAAUCAAAAUAUGAUAAACACAAAAAUAUUAUAGUGAUUUAGUGCCAACCAAACACGUACAUCUACUCUCAAGCUCUCUACUUAAAAAUUUCAAUCCACUAAUCAUUUACAAACGAUUACAACAUCGGAUACUACCGGCUAAACAAUCCUAGCUUUCCCAAGCUAGUCAUUCAUUUUUGGGCACAGACAAGUCUUACACACACUCCAUUUUAAGGUACAGAUCAACCUCUCCAAGUUUUAGCUCAACCGAAACUUGUCCCACAAAUACAAUGAAAUACAAUGUAACAAUAAUCAAUAUACAAUAAAUACAAUCAAAGCUCAUUAGUAAGUAGAAAUAAACUAAUUAAAGCCCUUUUGAAAUGACGAGAGAAGGCUUUUGAUGUCCACUUCAAUGGGAAUGCUCAAUGAUUGCUCUUGAAGAGGUUGGUCAAGUUGGAUUGAAUGCUUCUCAUUCCGUUAAUGCUUUUUUUUCCUCUGAAUGCUAUCCCCCCUGAUUCUCCUUAAUUCAUCUUGAUUUCUCUUUUUAAUUACUGCUUGUUUUCUACCUUUUCGAGGUCUAUUUAUGGAGAGAAGCUCCUGGAGAGCAAUUACUAGCUGCUGAACUCCAUUAGAGAAAGGUUAGAAAUCAUUUCAUGUGCUUCAUUCUCGUUGAAAAACUAGCUGUUAUAGUUUGCCAAUGUAGAGCGGUUGACCUUGGGGUUGACACUUCGUCUAGGGGUCGACUAGGUUGAUGUUCGUCCGUUCCUGUUUACUUAAAAAUACGCUAAACAGAUUGUUGUUAGAACCGACAAACAAAGUUUAAUUUAAUUAUACUCUUAUCUUUUCUACUCGAAGAAUAGUGGUCGUAAGAGGUCGAUCCACAGGAAGGCGAUUGGAGUUGCAUAAAAAUUAGAACGUUCACUCGGAUUCAAAGCCAAUUUUUGAAUAAUAAAAGAAAAAUAUUACGUCGGGGAUGUUGAAUGUUUUCUAAUUGAAACUAACUAAAAGACAGGUACUUAGAUUUGAAAAGCAUUUAUUUAGUUAAUCAAAGAAGAGCUUUGGCAUAAAUUAAAAUAGACGACACUAAGAAGAUUGAAGCCUGAAACAUCAAUUUCAUAAAAGAAAAUUAAAUAUAUUGCAUCAAAGAAAAAUUAAAAGAUUGCAUAAUUUGAAGAACGAAAAUUAAUUACAACAGAAAUUACAACUUUAGCAUAAAUAAAACUCUCUAUUAAAAUAAAACUAAAAACCCCAAAACACAUACUCUCAAAAUAAAACUCUUAAUAAAACAAAAAAAAAUAAAAUAAAAAAAACAAACAAACAACGUGCUCUGUUUGAAAACAGAGCACGAACUCCUCUUCCUUUUCCCCAAAACAGAGCUCCACCUCCCUCCUCCUUGGACCAGCCGGCCACCACCCCCCCUCCCGAGCUCUCCUCUUCCCUCCUCUUAUAGUUGUGAGGUGCUGAAAUUAGGGGAGGAAUCACGGACGACCGAUUGCAGAUGCGGAAGAGGGAACAUCCGGGGUGCGUGAUCGAUGGGAUUGGGUCUCCGGAAGCUGGCCGCGGGAUGAGAGGCUGAGGCGGAAAGAAAUGGAUGUUUGGAAUGCUGGGAUCACGCCUUGCAAUCCGAUGGGAGAAGCUUGAUUGCAGCGUGGGAUGCCGUGGAAGAUGGAUACGGACGAGGCUUGCCGACGGAAGGAGAUAGCUGCGGGAUCACGGGCUGGAGCGCUGAUCAUGGGAGCAAGAAGAGGGCGGAUGGGCGCGGGAUCCUUUCUUCUCCCCUAUUUCCGCACGGGAUGAAGCUGUGAGAUGGGAGGGAUCGCGAAGGAGGAAGAGGGCAGACGGGCUCUUGGGCUGCUGGGAUUCGGAUCGCGGAAGAAUCAUGGGCGGAAGGAGCUGGAUUACCGGCUGCUGGGACGCUGGGAGGAGCCGACCACGGCCGCGGUGGAGACUGGGAUCACGGAAAGGAUUGGCUGAAGAUCAUGGUUUGGAUGCGGCUGGAGGAGAAACGGACGUGUGAUCCUCUCUUCUCCCCUGUUUCCGCACGGGCUGGGAUUUGAUCUGGAAGAUGGACGGCCUGGCACGGUGGUUGUUGAUGGUUGGGUGUGUUCUCAACGGAUGGAGAUGAACCUGAUGAAACAGGUUUGGGAAGUGGGAUGCUUGGUUUGAUUGCGUUGAUGGCGUGGACGGCCGGGAUUUCAUGCAUGCAUGGCAGCUGGGGAAUUUGUUGAGCUCGGGCUGCCGGGCAUUGGGCUCAAACCCAAUGUUAUUGGGUCUCUUGGAUUCCUUGCACUCAAACACAAAUACAACGUUAAUUAAUUAAUUUUAUUAUUAAAGAUUAACUAUAAUACUAAUUAAAAUGGUACGACGAUUGCACUUUUGUGCUCUCAUCAGUU
rnacentral:lncRNA from 1 species